AAACAGUGACUGAAUCGAGAAAACUCGCCGAACACGAACAAUCUUCCACUCGCUCACCUUCCUUGGACCCGAACAACCUAACCGAGUCGUUAAUCAAUCGUUCCAAGUCGUUUGACUCGCUGACUCGGGCCAGCAGACCACGUGACUUCCGAAAGCAGAGGCUGGGAAGGUGUGGGCGAUCACGUGAGGGGAGGUCAGGGAGGAUAAUGAAGAAGCCAUGACCAUGGGUAUAGAGCUUGAAUUGCAUUUGGAGGAGAAUCUGGACGAAGUUGGAAUCUACCGCUGAAAUGUAAGAGUGGCGCUGCUGGACGGUGAGAGAUGAGAACCAUUUAAGAAUAGAAGAUCUAGGGUUAGGGUUAGGGUUCGGGCUAGAGCUUGGGGAGCGGUUGUGAUAUAGAGAGAUAUGAGCGGUGAGCGAGUCGACGAGUUGGUUUGAGUCCAUGAACAAGUUGCCAGGAGGAUUGCUGGAGGAAACGUACGGGAAAUUAGGGUUUGAUUUGGGCAUUUUCAGGUGUUGCAGAGAAUUGACGCUGAGACGAUGACGAUUCAAAAGGUUGGCCAGUGCUGUAGGCCAUCCUCUUCGGUCCACCGGCAUCGGACCGUCCACGUCAUGACAUUUGGUCCCAUCUAUAUUUAGACGGUUCAGAUGCAGACGGCGGGGAAGAUUAAAAAAGAAAAGAAAGAACAAUAACAAUUUUAUAAGCAUUUAAUUGAAAUAAGUAAAUACCAACGGAAAGAAAUUUAAGAGGAGAUCCAACCCCAUAAAAAAUUCUGUUCAUUGAAAGACAAUUAGAGCUUGUUUAACAAUUCGAUAAUAGUUUUUUUUUUUUUUUUUUUUGGAAAAAAGAAACGUUUAUUAAUUAAAAACUAUUUUUUAUUUUUAAUAAUAGAAAACAAGUGUUUUCGAUUAAUAUUUUAUAGUUAAUAUAAAAAUUAUUUUUAAAACAUAUUUAAAAAUAUUUAAAAUUAGUAAAAAUUAUUUUAAAUCUUUGUUUUACCAAAUAUAAAAAAAUAAUUUUUAAAAACCAUUUUUUAUAACUGUUUUUAAAAACAUUUAUCAAAUAGGGUCUUACUUUUAAAGAUGUUUAUUUUAAAGAUGGUCAUGUAAUCUCAUUUUAAUAUUUUUGUCCUUAUAUUUACUUUGGAAAAAAAUAAAUAAUUAUAUUGAUAAAAAAAAUUUACAUUUAUACAUUUAUAAACAAAAUAUUUUAAAGUUGAAUAUACACUCAUUUUCUUUUUCUUUUUCAAUUUUUUUUCUUUUGAUCCCUCCACAAUUAUAACAAUUUUUUUUUUAAUAUAUUGUGUACUUUGAAUCAUUGGUAAACAAUUACAAUAUGCUAUAAAUGUUUUUUUUUCAUUUCUUAUGCUUUUUUAAUUUAAAAAUGAAGGAUUAGGAAGAGUAUGUGGGGUUUCUGAGGAUAAGGAACAAUUACAGUAUUGUGGUUAAGACAUUUAAGUGUUUUUUUUUUUUUUAAUUUCUUCCACUCUUUCCUAAAAUUUUUGAAUUUAUUUUACAAAAUAUUUGUGAAAAGCCCUAAAAUAUAUUCAUGAUAAACAAAUAUAAUAUUAGUAUGUAGAUUUAAACAACAUGCCUAAAAUAUAUUGGAAUUAUCUUUGGGAGAAUUACCAUGUAAACUGAGAGUGAUAAUGACACGAAAUAGUCAAUUAUUUUAUGAAUUUUUGUGAAUGAUAAAAUUUAUUGUUGGAUAAUUUUAACCUUUGAAUAUUUUUUGAAUCUCUUAUCAUUCAUAAGAACUUAAAAUGAAAAAUAAAAGAACCCUAAUAGAUAUGAGUUUGAUUCAAUCUUAUUCAUACAACUUGAAAACCAACAUUGCAAGUUUAAAAGUGACAAACAAAUAUAACAGUCAUGGUACAUUUAGCAUCAUACCUGCUAAUGGAAGAGGAGUCUAAACUAGAAGCUCAUGUGGUCCCGGUGUGGGAUUAUUACCACUCAUGAGUAAAUAUAACAUUCUUGAAUAUAACAUACACAUUGCAAGUCUAAGAACUUCAGAAAAAUAAAAUAUAACAUACACAUUCUUGAAUCUCUUAUCAUUCCUAAGAACUUAAGAAUAAAUAUAACAGUUUGAUUCCAUACAACUUGAAAACCAACAUUGCAAGUAUAAAAGUGGCAAACAAAUAUAAUAGUUACAGUACGUUUAGCAUCAAACCUGCGCUAUAGAUGGGGGAGAUGGACUCUGAACUGGAAGCUCUUGAGAUCCCUCUUCUGGGGGAUUACGAGGUCCAUCACUUGCUUCGCAAAAAAAUUUCAGAUAUAGUUGCUGUAAGUAAUCCCACCCCAUCUUGGCAGUAAAGAAGAUCCAUAAAACCUGCGCUUCAGAUGGGGGAGAUGGACUCUGUGUUAGAUUAAUUUUUGUAAUUAAUCUAUAAUUUGGGCCACACAUGUAAAUAAUUAAAAUGUGUGUGCUAUCAUUUAAUUAAGCCUAAAUAUAGUGAUCUAAUUAAUAAUUGAUUAAUUGGCUUAAGGGUAUAAUUGUCAUGAGAUUAUUGUGUAGAUACCAUUAGACAAUUAUUAUUUCUAUGAGGGGCAGAAAUAUAAUUGUGAUAAAAUUAAAACUGCCCUAGCAGUUUAUAAAUAGGGUUAUGGUCCCCAUUCUACGACUACGCAUUCCAAUUUCUGAAAAUCCUCUCAGAGAGAAAUUGACACAGAAUCUAGUGGCUAGAAUUAGAAGACCAUCUCAAAGGGUUUUUCUUUCUAUAAGGUUUCUCCUUCAAUGGAUUCAGGUAUGCUUCCGCUAUUAUUUUUCUACUCAUUGUUUUUUAAUCAGGAGAUUCCAGUGUAUAUAUGAAAUUAGGGUAUUCACCUUGUUUAAAUAUUUCAGUACAUAUGUAGUUAGGGUAUUCACCCUGUUAAAUAUUCCAGUACAUAUGUAGUUAGGGUAUUCACCCUAUUAAAUAUUCCAGUACAUAUGUAGUUAGGGUAUUCACCCAGUUAACUAUUCCAGUAUAUAUGAAAUCAGGGUAUUCAUAUUUGGUUGAUUUUAACAAGACUAUUCCAGUAUAUAUGAAAUCAGGGUAUUCUUCUUUAUUGGAUGGUAACAAGUGGUAUCAGAGCCUACUCCUUGAUUAAUUCUUUGAGUUAUUAUUUUAAUAUAUAUAUAUGUCAAUGGAUUAAGAUUUAUGAAAUAUUGAGUUGAUAAAUUUUUUUUUUUUUUUUAUUACUAUUAUUAUUAUUAUUAUUGUUAUUGUUAUUUAAUAGCAUUUUAUGAUAUUAAUAUUUAAGUUAUUGAUCUAGCAUUUUUAUUCAGGCUAAUUAAAGCGGAAAAUCACCAAAGUGACAUCUUUCGUGUAGAUUAGUCUGUUUGGGGUGUUAGAUAUUUGUGUGUAUGUGAUUCAUGCGGGUAUUAACUGGCCCAAAGGAAAGUUAAUAUUUGGUCAAAUUGCAUACAUACCUGUGGUGAUAAAUAUGUGAUGAUUAUAAAGGUAACUUAAUGUGAAUAAUAAAUCAAUCCAAAGAUAGAUUUAUUAUUUGACAUAACUUAUCAUCAAUGUUUGAUCACUACAACAAGAGUACCACUUACAGUUAAUAUUACUGUCCAAAGACUUGAUAUUAAUGUUGUGCUAGGUAUCUUGAAAUGUCAUAAUUGCUUUUAAAUUUAAAGAUUAUGUGUUUAAUUGCUUAUUUUAUGUGAGCAUGAUGGUUUAUUUGAUUCAUUUUAUUUUGUUCUGGAUUCAGCUUUUAUAUCAACCACUUCUAUAUCUGCCAACAUCAAUAAUGUCCCUAUGUUAAAUGGGACUAAUUUUAAGGACUGGAAAGAGAAUAUGAUGAUUCUCUUAGGCUGCAUGGAUAUAGACUUAGCCUUGAGAAUGCCCAAACCCGAUGAACUCAAUGAGCAAAGUACUCAAGAGGAUGAGGUUUAUUGGGGUAAAUGGGAACGUUCAAAUAGGCUAAGUCUUAUGAUCAUGAAGCGCGGCAUUCCAGAAGCUUUCAGGGGUGCGGUAACCGAUGAGGUUACUAAUGCCAGUGACUUCCUUGCGGAAAUUCAGAAGCGUUUUGCCAAAAACGAUAAGGCUGAAACGAGCACGCUUUUAGCAAGCUUGAUUUCAAUGAAGUAUAAAGGCAAGGGUAAUGUUCGGGAGUACAUCAUGGAGAUGUCUCAUCUUGCUUCAAAACUUAAGGCUUUGAAACUCGAGUUAUCUGAUGAUUUACUCGUGCAUUUGGUUCUCAUCUCUCUUCCUGCACAAUUUAAUCAAUUCAAGGUCAGUUAUAACUGUCAAAAGGAUAAAUGGACUCUUAAUGAGCUCAUUUCAUUCUGUGUGCAAGAGGAAGAGAGAUUGAAGCAAGACAAAACCGAAAGUGCUCAUCUGGCUAGCACUUCGAAGGAUAAGGGCAAACGAAAGAAUAAGGAUAAUAAGGUUGCUGCUUCUAAUGGUCCAGAACAAAAGAAACAGAAAGUUGAGGUAACAUGUUUCUUCUGUAAUAAGCCUGGACAUACUAAGAAGGAAUGUACCAAGUAUGCUGCUUGGCGUGUUAAGAAAGGUAUGUUUCUUACUUUGGUCUGUUCUGAAGUUAAUUUAGCUUCAGUAUCUAGAAACACAUGGUGGUUAGAUUCGGGUGCUACUACUCACAUUUGUGUUUCUAUGCAGGGUUGCCUGAGUUACCGAAAACCAAGUGAUGCUGAAAGAUGCAUCUAUGUCGGAGACGGUCAGUCGGUAGAAGUAGAGGCAAUAGGGCACUUUAGAUUAUUAUUGAAAUCUGGUUAUUUUUUGGAUUUAAUAGAUACUUUUAUUGUACCGUCUUUCAGACGGAAUUUAAUUUCAGUUUCUGUUUUGGACAAAUCAGGUUAUUGUUGUUCAUUUGGAAAUAAUAAAUUUACAUUAUCUAUUAAUUCAAAUGAUGUAGGAACCGGUUUACUUAAUGUUUAUGAUAAUCUAUAUUUGUUGGAAACUGUUCCGUCCUAUAAUGAAACCUUGCAUGUGGAAUCACGAGGUACAAAACGUAAAUUGAAUAAAGAUAAUUCGGCCUCAUUGUGGCACAAACGCUUAGGUCAUAUCUCUAAAUCCAGAGUUGAGCGACUUGUGUCCGAUGGGAUUUUGGAUUCACUUGACUUUUCAGAUUUUGAUAUUUGUGUUGAGUGUAUUAAAGGAAAACAGACCAAAACAAAGAAAUUGGGUGCCAAUAGAGCUACAGACGUCUUAGAAUUAAUUCAUACAGAUAUUUGUGGACCAUACCCUACGGCAUCUUGGAAUGGUCAACAGUACUUUAUAACAUUCAUAGACGACUAUUCAAGAUAUGGCUACCUAUUUCUUAUACAUGAGAAAUCACAAUCAUUGGACGUGUUCAAAACAUUUAAAGCAGAAGUUGAGUUGCAACUCAACAAAAGAAUAAAGAGUGUCAGAUCUGACCGUGGUGGUGAAUACUAUGGUAGAUAUGACGGAUCAGGUGAACAACGUCCAGGACCAUUUGCUAAAUACCUAGAGGAAUGUGGGAUCGUCCCUCAAUACACCAUGCCAGGAUCACCUAGCAUGAAUGGUGUAGCAGAAAGACGAAACCGAACCCUUAAGGACAUGGUAAGGAGUAUGAUUAGUCAUUCUACUUUACCCGAAAAACUCUGGGGUGAAGCACUCAAAACGGCAGCUUAUAUCCUAAAUCGGGUGCCAACUAAAGCAGCUGCUAAAACGCCUUAUGAGCUUUGGACGGGUCGAAAGCCCAGUUUAAAGCAUUUUCAUAUUUGGGGAUGUCCAGCUGAAGCGAGACCUUAUAAGCCUCAUGAAAAGAAAUUGGACUCUAAAACAGUUAGCAGCUACUUUAUUGGCUAUGCAGAGCGAUCAAGGGGUUUUAAAUUUUAUGAUCCUGCUAUUAGGUCAAUUUUUGAGACGGGAACUGCAACAUUUUUUAAGGAUGUUGAGUUUGGGGGGAGAAAUCAGGCUAGGAAUAUUGUCUUUGAGGAGGAAGAGGGAUCUACUAUUGCUAUUGAUAAUGUACAGGUUUCACUACCUAUCAUUGAUCAAGAAGUAAAUUUGGAUCCUCAACCAACAUACAAUAUUGUUCAACCCUUAAUUGCAAAUGAGGACAUUACUUCUGAAGAACAAACUCAACAACCUCAAGAAAAUAUGUCAUUAAGGAGAUCCACUAGAGAGAGGAGAAAUGCAAUUUCGGACGAUUAUAUCGUAUAUCUCCAGGAACGUGAGGUAGAAAGUGGAAUGAUGGAAGAUGAUCCAAUCAACUUCCAGCAAGCCGUGAAAAGUUCCAACUCUCAUAAAUGGAUUGAAGCCAUGAAUGAAGAGUACAAAUCUAUGCAAGACAAUAAAGUUUGGGAACUUGUCCCAUUACCAGUUGGUACGAAGCCCAUUGGUUGUAAAUGGAUAUUUAAAACCAAGCGGGAUUCAAAUGGUAAUGUAGAAAGAUAUAAAGCACGUCUUGUAGCUAAAGGCUUUACUCAAAAAAAAGGAAUUGACUUCAAAGAGACCUUCUCUCCAGUUUCUACGAAGGACUCUUUCAGGAUAAUCAUGGCACUAGUUGCACAUUAUGAUCUUGAGUUACAUCAAAUGGAUGUUAAAACAGUGUUUCUCAAUGGUGACAUUGAUGAAACAAUUUAUAUGGUACAACCAGAAAAUUUUGUGUCCGAAGACUCAAAGAAUAUGGUUUGUAAAUUAACUAAAUCCAUUUAUGGGCUCAAGCAAGCUUCUCGUCAGUGGUACUUCAAGUUUCAUCAAAUUAUUGUCUCAUAUGGUUUUGAGGCAAAUCUUAUGGAUGAAUGUGUGUAUCACAAAUUCAGUGGGAGUAAGUAUAUUUUCCUGGUUUUAUAUGUCGAUGACAUAUUGCUAGCCACAAAUGAUAUUGGCAUAUUGCACGACACCAAGAGAUUUUUAUCAAAACAUUUUGAGAUGAAAGAUCUUGGUGAUGCCUCUUUUGUCUUAGGAAUCCAGAUACACCGAGAUCGUUCUAGGGGUAUUUUAGGAUUGUCACAAAGGACCUAUAUUGAUAAAGUCCUCCAAAGGUAUGGCAUGCAAAAUAGCAAACCAGGUGAUACCCCUGUCGCUAAAGGAGACAAAUUCAGUCUUAAUCAAUGCCCUAAAAAUAGUUUAGAAAGUCAAGAAAUGCAAAAGAUUCCUUACGCUUCGGCUGUGGGGAGUCUAAUGUAUGCUCAAGUAUGUACACGUCCGGAUAUUGCGUACAUUGUUGGCAUGUUAGGCAGAUAUCUAAGUAACCCUGGAAUGGAUCAUUGGAGAGCAGCCAAGAGGGUUAUGAGAUAUUUACAGAGAACAAAAGAGUACAUGCUUACAUAUAGGAGAUUGGAUCAAUUAGAGUUGAUUGGGUAUUCCGACUCCGACUUUGCUGGAUGCCAAGACAGCAGAAGAUCCACAUCAGGCUAUAUUUAUCUGUUGGCUGGUGGAGCAAUUUCAUGGAGGUCUGCCAAACAGACACUCGUAACUUCAUCCACCAUGGAAGCAGAGUUUGUAGCAUGUUAUGAGGCAUCCAAUCAAGGAAUAUGGCUACGAAAUUUUGUCACUGGGCUGCGUGUUCUGGAUGGUAUUGAAAGACCAUUGAAGAUAUUUUGUGACAAUAAAUCAGCAAUUUUAUAUUCCAAUAACAACAGGAGCUCUACAAAAUCAAAAUACAUUGAUAUCAAGUUCCUAGUUGUAAAAGAAAAAGUACAGAGUGGACAGAUAUCCAUAAAGCAUAUUGGAACAAACUCCAUGAUAGCGGAUCCGCUUACAAAGGGAUUACCACCCAAGGUCUUUCAUGAGCACACUGCUCAUAUGGGUGUUGUCUCAUUUGAGGAUAUCCAAAUUUAGUGGGAGUUUAUAUUAUUCAUUGUAUAUUGCUCUAUGUUAUGUUUAGACUUUAUCUAUACAUUUGGAUUGUGUUCUGCAGAAAUAAAGUAUUCAUUUCAUUGCACUCUGUUAAAUUAUGCUAAAGAUUUUAUCUCAAUAAAGUUAAGUAGGACCAGUUGGAAAUAGGCAUGAAUAGAUCACAUUGCAUGUAAUUUCCAUGCUAUGCACUCAUGAUUGAUCUAUGUCAUUUAGCUAUGCAGAUAUAUGUGACCAUUGAUUGGUCUAGUAACGAUUGAUGUAACAUAGACCACCUUGAUCCUAUGUCAGUAUAGUUAAUGGACGAGAUUGUUCGGAUAUACCCUAAGGACAUGAUAGCAAAUUUUGAGCUCAUAAGGUUAAGCACAUUUAUUUGAUUACAUAUGCAUGUGGCCCAGUGGGAGAUUGUUAGAUUAAUUUUUGUAAUUAAUCUAUAAUUUGGGCCACACAUGUAAAUAAUUAAAAUGUGUGUGCUAUCAUUUAAUUAAGCCUAAAUAUAGUGAUCUAAUUAAUAAUUGAUUAAUUGGCUUAAGGGUAUAAUUGUCAUGAGAUUAUUGUGUAGAUACCAUUAGACAAUUAUUAUUUCUAUGAGGGGCAGAAAUAUAAUUGUGAUAAAAUUAAAACUGCCCUAGCAGUUUAUAAAUAGGGUUAUGGUCCCCAUUCUACGACUACGCAUUCCAAUUUCUGAAAAUCCUCUCAGAGAGAAAUUGACACAGAAUCUAGUGGCUAGAAUUGGAAGACCAUCUCAAAGGGUUUUUCUUUCUAUAAGGUUUCUCCUUCAAUGGAUUCAGGUAUGCUUCCGCUAUUAUUUUUCUACUCAUUGUUUUUUAAUCAGGAGAUUCCAGUGUAUAUAUGAAAUUAGGGUAUUCACCUUGUUAAAUAUUUCAGUACAUAUGUAGUUAGGGUAUUCACCCUGUUAAAUAUUCCAGUACAUAUGUAGUUAGGGUAUUCACCCUAUUAAAUAUUCCAGUACAUAUGUAGUUAGGGUAUUCACCCAGUUAACUAUUCCAGUAUAUAUGAAAUCAGGGUAUUCAUAUUUGGUUGAUUUUAACAAGACUAUUCCAGUAUAUAUGAAAUCAGGGUAUUCUUCUUUAUUGGAUGGUAACACUCUGAACUGGAAGCUCUUGAGAUCCCUCUUUUGGGGGAUUACGAGGUCCAUCACUUGCUUCGCAAAAAAAUUUCAUAUAUAGUUGCUGUAAGUAAUCCCACCCCAUCUUUGCAGCAAAGAAGAUCCAUAAAACCUGCGCUUCAAAUGGGGGAGAUGGACUCUGAACUGGAAGCUCUUGAGAUCCCUCUUCUGGGGGAUUACGAGGUCCAUCACUUGCUUCGCAAAAAAAUUUCAGAUAUAGUUGCUGUAAGUAAUCCCACCCCAUCUUUGCAGCAAAGAAGAUCCAUAAAACCUGCGCUUCAGAUGGGGAAGAUGGACUCUGAACUGGAAGCUCUUGAGAUCCCUCUUCUGGGGGAUUACGAGGUCCAUCACUUGCUUCGCAAAAAAAUUUCUGAUAUAGUUGCUGUAAGUAAUCCCACCCCAUCUUUGCAGCAAAGAAGAUCCAUAAAACAAGCAGCAACCAUCCAAAUAUUGGAACUAAAAUCAACAACAAUAAAAUUGGUGCCAUUGCGCCAGAGAGGAGUCGAAUGGGCUCAAUAGUCUUCAUCUCAAACUUUUUACCAAGAAUAAUUGUUCCAGUAAAGAUGGAAAUAGCAACAACAAAAGAAUAUAUAAUUGCAUUGUGCUUCUCAAAUGGGGAAGCACCCUUGCCUUGAAAUUUUACUUGGAAGAGACCAACCAGCAUUGUGAGGAAGAAUGCAUAAGCUUGAAAUGCAAUGGAGGAACUUAGUCCUUGCUCUUGCUCGCUGCAAUGCCAAGAAAAUGAAAUUAUUUUGAGUGUUUAAUUAGCAAGUUAUUAAUGAAAUUUAGGAAUAAAACAAGAAAAUGCACAAAGCCUUCUCAAUAAUGAAGGCACAAAUAGUGUUAUAAGUGUGACUCAUAAAUUUCUGCCACUUGUUAUCUGAAAUGGUUAGUUAGUAAGUUUCUUUUUCUGUUAUUUUCUCUGGUAACCUGAACUAUAUACAGGGAAAGAGAAAGAGAACAGAGAGGAGAGCUUUGAUUUUUUCAGAGAGUGCAUUUCUUGUGUGUAAUUCUGAGACAGCAUUUUUUUUAAUUUUUGUGUAAAGAGAGAAAGUGUCAGGAAAAUCAUAUAGAAAAUACAGAGCGAAAUGCAAUAAAUUUUUGGCUUGAUAAAGAAAAGCUUUCUUGAACAAGAUCUACAAAAGAAAAACUGAUCUGGAAGACCAGAAAUUGCAACAAGUGGUAUCAGAGCGGUUCAAGAAAUGAGAUCUGCGAAGUUCGAUAUUGAAAAGUUCUCUGGAAAAAGCGACUUCGGUCUCUGGAGAGUCAAGAUGAAAGCCCUUCUGGUUCAACAAGGUCUUCAAGAUGCUUUGAAAGGUGAAAAAGAUCUACCGAAAACCUUAUCAGAAAAGGAGAAGAAUGACAUUCUUGAAAAGGCACAAAGUGCCAUUAUCCUGAGUCUUGGAGAUAAGGCCCUUAGAGAAGUGUCAAAAGAAACAUCUGCAGCUGCUAUAUGGUUGAAGUUGGAGAAGCUGUACAUGACGAAGUCACUGGCCAAUAGACUCUAUUUGAAACAGAGGCUUUACUCUUUUAGGAUGGCAGAGGAAAAAUCCAUUGAAGAUCAAAUGGAUGAGUUUAACAAGAUUAUUGAUGAUCUUGAAAAUGUAGAUGUGAAGAUGGAAGAGGAAGAUCAGGCAAUAAUACUUCUGAGUGCUCUACCAAAGUCAUACGAACAUUUUGUUGAUGCAAUGUUGUAUGGGAGAGGGCAAUCUCUGACAUUGGAGGAGGUUCAGGCGGCACUAAACUCGUAAGAGUUGAAGAAGAAGUUCGAAGUAAUAGAAAAGUCAAAUGGAGAAGGCCCCGCUAGUGGUGAAGCAUUCUUCAAUCAGGAUGAUCUUAGCUUUGGUUGCUGAUAGAAACAUGGAAUUGGAGCAGCUAGAUGUCAAAACAGCAUUCCUACAUGGUGAACUGCAAGAGACAGUUUAUAUGCAACAACCCGAGGGGUUUGUGAAGGACAAAAACAAGGUAUGGUUAUUAAGAAAGUCUUUAUGUGGGCUUAAACAAAGUCCUAGACAGUGGUACAAGCGUGUUGAUGAGUAUAUGCUGUAUAUUGGUUUCACUAGGAGUAAGUUUGAUAGUUGUGUUUAUAUCAAAUUUAAGAAUGAUCAGAUUUUAGCAUAUUUGUUACUUAACGUAGAUGAUAUGCUAAUAGCUAGUGGGAAUAUUUCUGAAAUUGAAAUCAUGAAGUUGCUAUUGCAAGCUGAAUUUGAGAUGAAGGACAUAGGUCCUGCUCAAAAGAUUUUACUGGAUGGAGAUAACUAGAGAUAGACAGAAAGGUGAACUUUAUCUUUCUUAGAGGUCUUAUAUUAAGAAAGUGAUUGACAGAUUUGGGAUGAAAGAUGCUAAACCAGUUUCUACACCCAUAGUGCAUCAUUUUAAGCUAACAUCAUCUGAGUCUCCAAGUACUGAUAAGAGGAGAAGUUUAUGGCGAUUUGGCCUAUGCUGUGAGUUUGGUUAGUAGGUUCAUGGGAAACCCGGGGAAGACCCAUUGGGAGGCUUUGAAAUGGAUACUAAGGUAUCUAAAGGGAACACAGACAACUUGUCUGAUAUAUAAAGCUGGAAGUAGAGGUGACAAUGCCAAAUACAAGAAGAUAAGGUAAGGCAUACCUUGCUUCUCCCGCCAUGAAACAGAGUUCUGCUUCUCUCGCCAAUCUGUUAUUCAGUCGAACCUAUUUCUCUGCCUCCGUGGCCUGCGGGCGUGUCUCUGCCUUGGUUCAGUUCUGCUUCUCUCGCCAAUCUAGUCAGUCUAAUUACUCUCACCUGAGGUUACGUGGCAGUCAGUCACACAACUAUAGUCGACUACAUGGAACCAUGGUUGUCAAACAUCACAAAUAAAGGAACCAUGGUUGUCAAACAUCACACAUAUAGAAAAAGCUCAUUCGAAAAAGAAAAAAAACAUCCAUACUAAAAUUUAAAAACUUUUAUACAAAGAAAUUUCUACACCACCAUGAAAUGUAUUUAUAAAAAAAAUAAAAAUCUCUACCACACUAACAAUGUAAACCAUUAACACAUAAUACUAAUUUAUACAUUAUUUAUUUUUAUCAUUAAUCAUUUUUUAAUUCUUCAUUUGCUCAAUAUAUCUCCUCUUAAUUGAUGUAAGUUGAGAUAUACUUCUCUUUCAUUUUUAACGUCUUUAAUUGUAUCAUUUAAUUUUAUUACUUGAAAAUAAAGAUACAAGGCAACCAUAAAAUAACAGGACAUGAGAAAAGGCGGCAUACCGUGGUUGUGUGGCCAUGGCAGAUAUUGUAGAUGCUGUUGCUCUUACUUUGAAGCCUGAAGGGAUGGGAGGGAGGGGAAUGCAGUGUGCGGUUGGGAAGAGGGGAAUGUUUUGAAGCCUGAAUGGAGGGGAGGGGAAUUCAGAAGAAGCCAAUUUGGAGUUGGUGGAUGGAGAGAGAUGGGAGGGGAAGGAUGCAGGGGAAGCGAAUUUAUAAGCGAAGGAGCCAUUAAGUGUGGAGGUCUAAUGAAGGAUAUAGGAUGCAGGGAAGCGAAUUUCUGCGUUGAUAGGGUGUUGUCUUUUUGUAAGCAGAUGUCUUUUUCGUUGAUAGGCUGUUGUCUUUUAUUAAGCUGUUGUCUUUUAUUCUUUUUCGUUGAUAGGCUGUUGUCUUUUAUUAAGCUGUUGUCUUUUAUUAAGCAGAUGUAUUUACGAAGUCUUCUCUUUGCAGCGCAUACGUCUGGGUUGUUAGGGUCUUUUUGCAGCGCAUAAGUCUUUGUGCGUCUAGCUUAAUGCUUAUUUGCUUUUUUUAAGGGUAUCAAAGUUUUAAUAAAUAUAUAAAAUAUUUUUAAUUUUGAACCGAUGUGGGAUAAAUAAUUUUCAUUUCUUUUAAAACUGCAGAUAGCACAAUAUCAAACACCAAAAAAAAAAAAAAAACUAUAUAUCAAAAAAGAAAACUAACUCAAAAAGUGGAAAAUCAUAAUACAACCACUUUAAAAACUACUUUGUUUAUCAUUUAUUAAUAUUUAUUACAAAUUUAUAAAUUUACCAAAAAUUCUUUAUCAAUUAUUAAUUUUUCCUUUAAAUAUUUUGAUCAUUUUACUUAAAAUUAUACACUAAUCUUUUAUCAUCUUUUCUACCAUAUGCUAAGAUAUGAAUAAUGGAUGGUAAAAGUACAAAAUAAUAAUAAUAAUAAUGAAUACAUUUUAUUUUUAUUAUUUAUUUUUUACUAUUAGUAACCACUCGAUACCUUUGCAUGAGGUUGAGGUUAUAGUGAUGGUAGUGCACCAAUAGCAUUUUCCUAAUAGGUGAAUUUAGGGCUUUUUAUAUAAUGUUAGGAAACUUAAGAAAUAGGUGAUUUUAAGGAUUUUUAUAUAAUGUUGGGGAACUUGGAAGUUGGAAUUUAGGACAAAACACAACUAUGCAUCUAUAUAUAUAUAUAUAUUACAAUUUAAAAACCCUUAUACAAAAAAAUUCUACACCACCAUGAAAUGCAUUUAAAAAGAAAAAGAAAAUGAAAAUCCUUAUUAUAGUCUAAUAAUGAAACCAUCAACCCAUACUACUUAUUAAGUGAUUUAUUUAACCUUUAAUUAUUUUUCUUAUUUUUUAUUUGCAAGGUAUAUCAUCCCUUAAUUAAUGUAAGUUGGAAUGCACUUUUUUCUUCAUAACUUUAAUUUUGUUUUUUCAUUUUAGAAUAGAAAAUAAAGACACUUAAUUUGUAUAAGUUGUGAUAUACUUUCUUUUCGUAUUUUCUAAGAAUUUUAAUUUUAAAUAAAAAAAUAAAUAUAUGAGUGAUGAUAAAAUUUACAAAAUAAUAAAAUACAAUGUUUUACUAUCAAAACAACAUUAAAAAUAGCUUCUCCCAUCAAGAUAUCACUAAUAUAACCAUGGUGGAUGAAGUUACUAACAAUGGCCCACUUGAUUCUUUAAGGUAAAGGGAAAUGAGAUUUAGGCCCACUACAAUUUUGUAAUGCUUAAGAAAAGUAAAAACACAUCACACCAUGAGAUAAAAUAUUAAAUGGAAAAAAUAUUUUGUCCCCAUUGAUGUGGGAUAAAUUCUUUUAAAUUAAGUAAAAAGAAAAUAUACACACAUUUUAAACUUAUAAUAAUUUCCAACCACUAAAAAUUAAUUCUUUAUAUAAAUAAAAAAUACUAAGGACAAUACUAGGCUUGUCUAAUAAUAUUUUGAAAAACAUCUCUAAUAGUUUUUUUAUAGCAGAUCUUAAAAAUGCUUUUCAAUUAUUUUUAGGAAUAAAAUUAUUUGACAGCUCAGAAUAUGAAAAUAAUUUUCUCAUCUUAUCUUUUAUUUAUUUACAUGCAUUAGAAAAGUUUUUAAAAAUAUUUUUCAUAUUUUUAAUUGUUGUUCAUAAUAUUUUUAAAAAUUACUUAUUUUUAAAUAUUCUUAAUAGGUUAUGUUUCUUAAGAUUUUUGUCUUUUAAAAAGUUCGUACAUGUCUCAUAAUCCCUCUUGGUUGAUGUUGUGUAGAAGAAUCAACUUUCCCACCAACAGUAUAAGAAAUUCAAAUUAUUGACUAUAAUUCAUAAUGCCUAAGGAGAUUACAGCUUCAAUAGAUUCAACAAUUGAUAAGCCUACUUGUUUAGAUUAUUAUCCCUACCUAGCUAUCCCACUUUUGGAUUUACUUUUGGUGCGCUUGGUUUAUAACUCAUCUUUUUGUUUUACUUAUUUUCAAUUUUUUAAGGUUUAGAUAAAAUUAAAAAAAAAAAAAAAUCUUUUGUGCCAUAACUUGAUUAUGUUUUUAUUCUCAUUUUUUCAAUGAGAAUGUAAAUUAUGUAAUAAGAAAUUAGGUCUUUUUUGAUAAAAUUGUAGGAAGUGCAUUGAGUCGAGAAUUUUAUUUGGACCAGUUUGUGUUUCACUUCCUAAGAGAUGCAGCUAAGUGAGUCUAUAAUAAAAAAGUAGGCAUGUAAACGGACCAUGCUGGCCCGGGCCAUUCUUAGGUUGGCUUAGUGGACCUUCGAAAUUGCUCCAAUGCCUACUCACUUUCCCUAGGUCAUAAGUUGUGCAAUAUUUAAAAAAAAAAUUGUUUGUGUUAGUAUAAUGUUUACCUCUUACAAAAAUUGAAAAUUGAAAAUGGGUGAAAUAUAAUUAAACAAUAAAAAGAAAAAUAAGUGAAACCCAAUAGAUAAAACUUAGUACGUGAUAAAUUUUGGAAAUAAUACAUUUACUUGAUAAUUAUUUGAGAAAAAUAAAAAUAAAAUUGACUUAUGUUAUCAUAAUAACAAAUAAUAUAUCCAUUUGAAGUUUGAACCUAACAAUCAUAUGAAAAUUGCAUUAUUCUUCUAAAAUUGAGAAGUACUGUUGCCUUGAAAUUUCACUUGGAAGAGGAUGCCCAACAUUGUAAGGAAUAAUGCAUAAACUUGAAAUGCAAUGGAGGAACUUAAUCCUUACACUUGCUCAGUGCGAUGCCAAGAAAAUGAAAUUACUUUGAGUGUUUAAUCAACAAGUUAUUAAUGAAAUUCAAUAACAAGAAAAUACUCAAAACCUUCUCAAUAAUGAAACACAAAUAUGAUAUCAUGUUUAUUUUUAACAUAUGCAAUCUUGUCAUUUAAUUUUACAAAUUGAAAAUAAAGAUAUAUUCAUAAUAAAAUUUAUAAAAAAAAAAAAAGUAUAAAUAUAUCCAAGAAAAGAUUUCACAGUUUAAAACGUUUUUGAUAAAUAGAAUUUUUUUAUUAAAUUUUAUUAUUAAGUUUUAAAGGUGGAAACGAAUAAUAAGAUAUCAUGUUGUACUAGUGCAGCCACAUUAAAAAAUAGUUCCUCCUAUAUUAUUUAUUGAUAUUUACUACUUAACUUGUAAAUUUACUAAAAAAUUUUCAACUAUUAUAACUCUAAACAUUUUGGUCAUUUUAGUUAAAAUCAUGCAACGUAGAUAACUUCUAUCAUAUGCUAAUAGGUGAAGUAAAACUGUAAAACUACAUAAUAAUAAUAAUAAAUUUUACCACUUUAUUUCCAUUAUAUUUAUAUAAUUUUUUAUAAUAAAUUGUUAUUUAUUGAGAAAAUAUUAUUUUCUUAAUUCUAUUAAUUAACAAAAAUACUCUCAAAAGAUAUUUUUAAAAUAAAAAUAAAAAAUUACUUUAAAUUAUGUGUUAAGAGUAUUAUUAUUUUUUUUAUUUUUUUCAUUCUUAUUUUGAUUGUUACUAAACAUUGGCGUAGAAAUAAAUAAUCAUUCUAAGUAAUCUUAAAAACACAAAAAUUAAAACCACUAAAUUCAUUCAUAUUUAUACAUAAAUAAGAAUUUAAAUAAAAUAUUCAAUCUUAUGUCCCAUUUUCACGUACCAAAUAUAGCUUUAUAAUAAUAUAUCACUUAGCAUUUUCUUUUUAUUCAUAAGACAUUGAAGGACAAAAUAAAAAAGAAAAUGUUAAAUAUUAAAUUUUUCUGUUUAAAAAUAAAUAAAUAAAUAUAUAAAGUCUAAAAACUAUUUAUUUUUCAAAUUUUUUCUUUUAUUUAACUGUCAUAAUUUUCAAUUUAUUCAAUAUAAAACUUGAUAAAUUGGAAUGUAAAAUUAUAUUUGGGACUAAACCCAAAAGCAGAAUAGUCCAAUUAAUAAACUUUAAAGUUUAAAAUGAAAUAAAUGAUUCCCUGGAAAAUCUUUUUUUGAAAUUGACGGGAAAGAAGGAAGAAGCAGCUAACUUCUUAUAUAAUACCACAUCUCUCAUAGGAUUUGUGGGGUAAGUUUCCCACUUCCCACCGUGCCAUGAAUGGCGUAUGGUAACGCCUUCAAUUGUUUCCACCGUUGGAUCAAGAAUGGGAUUUCGUAGGGUUCAUAUUUUUCUUGUCGCCAGCCGCCAUUGUUGACGUCCCACUGUGGAUUAACUGGGAUUUUUUUUUUAUAUAGAAACACAGUUUCCUUGUAAAAUAUUUAUUAAAAUAUCUCAAUUUUAAAACCACUUCCAAAUUUAUGAUAAAAAGUUCUCAACAUAACUUUCAAUUAGAUUAUUUCAAAGUAUGUAAACUUGUAAAUAUUUAUUAAAUUGUCAUAUUUUUAAAUAUUGCUCUAAAAAUUAAAAUAAAUAAUAAAUCAAAUCUUCCUUAAAAUCAAUUUAAUAUUCAAAUAGUUUUUAUUUUACUUUUAUUUUUUUUCAAAUUGUAACUAUUAUUUUAAUUUAUUUUUCUUUUAAAACUGAAUACAUUACCGUCCAAAUUUAUUAAAAAGCAACAUUUCAACCCCCAAAUUUAUUAAAAAGUCAAUCAACAAUUCAUUCAUUAAGUUAAAAAAAAAAAUUGAAAUAUAAGGAAAAAUACCUGUUAUACAAGUUCAAAGUUGUCAUACAUAGUAGUAACAUAUGUAAAAAAUCACAAAUAACCAUGCAAACAACUUUUUAAAAUCAAAAAUCAAAAUCAGUAGUUAUUAUAUUUUGAAGACAUACUCAAUUUCAAAUUAGGGUUUAAACCAAACUAUGAAAAAAUGUAAUCAUUUUUAUAAUUUUAUGAAGGCUUUGUAAUUGGAAAAAAUGUUGUCUUUAACAAUUUGAGGUGCAAAAUGUUAUGUUUUAAAUAGGAGGGAACAAAGCGUAAAACACGAGGAAAGGAUGAGGAGGUAAAGCAUAUUCAACUAUUUUUUUUACUAAUAUUCAUUUAGUAUUUAUUUUAUUUUUUCAAAUUACAACUAUUAUUUUAAUUUAUUUUUCAUUAAUUUAAUACCGAAUUAUUAUUUUGAUUUUUUUUAAAUUUAAUUAAAUAACAAAUCUAUAACACAUGUUUAUAUUAAUUUAUUUAUUUUUUAUUCAAUUUAGCGUUAGAUUAUUAUUAUAUUUUAUUUUAAAAUUUUGAAAUGUUUCAACACUUGCGAAGUACAAGGGAUUUGUAUCAUCAUCACAAUGGAACCUAGCACCUACGAAGUUUGGGACACCACCGUUCAUACAUGCAGACUUCUUAUCUUUUGUUACUAAUUUUGCUCUGCUUCCUAAGGAUUAAGUUGAAGUAUUGAAGUAUUGAAGUUUGCACUAUAUUCUUCCAAAUAACCUUUUUCUAAGCUUCUUUCUCUCAGUACGGUUUCGUAUGACUUCACUUAAAACAACAUUCAAGAAAUUGGAGUCUGGCAUUUUUAAACAGAGCAUAUUCAGCUCUGGGAAGUAUUUCUUGAGCAAAGAGGAACGAAAAUAGACCCUCAUUGUUCCCCAGAUUUUCCAAGUUAGACACUACUGAGUUACACUAGCUUGAUCUGCUUCAUCUCUCAUAUAUACUAUCAUUGUGCCAGGAUCUAUGUAAUGCAAGCACUGAUACCUCAGCAGGAAGCAUGCAAUGGAGCAAUAGCCAAAUUCAUUAACUAUCCUGAUGCAUUCAAGGUCAGAGAAGAAAUAAACUUAGUAGUUGGAGGAACUAGACUUGUUGACAAAUCUAUGGUGAAAAUGAAUUUUGUAUAUUGAUUUGAAAGAUGAGUCUCUACAAAGAUAUGUACAGUUAAGGUAGAUGGAAAAUGGGAACUGGUUCCCUAAAAUCUGUCCUGAAGAUCACUAAAAAAUGUCAAAAAAAUAAAAAUAAAAACAGAAAAGAAUAUAUGAACCUUCCUAAAAUACAUAAAUUACAUAUCAGCAUGUAAUAAAAUUGAUUUGACUUCCUAAAUGAAUGGUAAUCUUAACAAACUUGCCACCAGAAUCAGAUAUCCCAAACAUCCCCUACUUGUAAGCAGUUGUGAAAGAAACACUCGGACUGUACCUUCCAUGACCUGUGACAUCUGGCAUGAAAGACCUUGAGAAAUGGGAUGAUCCUAAUGAGUUCCAAUAGAAGGGUUCUUGGUUUGCUCGAAAGAACAAGAGGAUUUUGAACAAACUAAGGAAAAAAACAUCAAUUUUGUCUUGUUUGGCGGUGUAAGCAGAGGCUGCCCAGGGAUGGUGGUGGUAUCCAGUUUGAUGCAUAAUAUGGUUGAUGCUGUUCAAUGCUUUGAUUGGAAGGCUGGAAGGCUGGUGCAGAUGGACAUGGGGCUAAGUUGAUAUGCAAUCUAGCUAGGCAUGUCCUUGAGCAUGGUUCACUCAUUCAUCUGUCAUCCCGAAGUUAACUUUAACCCUUUUGAGGGAUAUAAGUUCAGGCAUUUGAUUCUAUAAUGGAUGCUAUUAUUAUCUAUGUCCUAGGUGCUUCAAUGCUCUCCAGCUAUAUCUUAAUAGUUAUUCCAUGUCUAAGAAUGAAUUAUAAUAUAACAAGACAUAGUUUCUUAUCGUAUGUUUUUGGCUGAUCAGCCAAGGCUGACUAAAGGAGUCCAGAGCCUCUGCCAUGACCAUAUCACCUAGUUGGAAACAGAUAGUCAUUCCAGAAGUCUAUUGAUUCACCAUUUCCCACAAGGUUCCAGGGAAAAGACAAUAAUUUAAAACAACUUUGGAAACCUUUAAUGUUCCUUGCCUAGUAUUAGAAACAACCUUUUGUUUAAAAAAAUUUGAAAUAAGCUCUAAACCUGAGGCUGAGAUUACAGUUAAGUAGAACAAGCAAUGCUUACAAAAGAGUAGAACCCAAACCAAUUUGAAAUAAGUUCUUCCAAUAAAAUUGGUGACUCCAUUACACCUAAAUUUUUUGUUAACAUUUAUUUCCCUAUUGGUCUAAAGAAAAAAGCAUGCCACAUAAGGUUUUGUCCUCAAUGGAGUUGGGGAUCCAAUCUUUGUACAAACCAGAAAGAUUUCAUCAAGAUGGGCUUAUCGUCAAAGCCUAAACAUUCUAAAAACAUUGUACCCCAAGUACCUUGACUUCUGCAUAUUCUUUGAAACAACCGGCAUUAGAGAAGGUUACAAUUCUAAAUUUAAAAAGGUCAUCUGAUUUUCUGCCAAGUGCAUGGUUAAAAAUAUUGGAUUCAAGCCAAGACAACCCUCAAAUAUCCAACAACCAAAGGCAUGCCAGAUGGCAACAGAUCACUUCUAUAAACAUCUAUUUCUAAAGGGAAAAUCCUAGGCUUCUUUUGCUGUUCUAAAUAACAAGACAUGGCUAGCCACUUUGAAAAACAGAACACAUAUCAUAACAGAGAUUCACCCCCACGCCUUAAUUUAGAAAACUAGCUCACCCCACUUUAAGGGUGGUGUCUUGCUGAUCCUCUCUAUACAAAUCUCUAGUCCUUUUUUUAUUUGAGACACCAAAUUUCCACAACCUACAUUCAGUACUUUCCAAUGGCAUCAUCAUAUAUUCACCUUCUCUAGGUUUUCUAUGUCUUUGGUACUAGCAAAUACACUAAUUAACUUCCCAUUUCCUGUGACACUUGGUUGAUCUACACAUCUAAAUCUAAGUAGUAAUGUUGCAUUAUGUUCUUGAUUCUUCUCAGGUGUUUAUUGAGUGAUUUUCACAUUACAAAAUAGAUGCAGGAAAACUCUAUGGCAGGGGAUCACACCUGGAUCUGGAAAACCUCAACUAAUGGAUGGCAGGCUUGAAUUAAGACCAGGUCAAUCAGUAGAUAUCAAUGCCACACAAGGGUGGUCAGGCCGUUUUUGGGGCCGCUGUAGCUGUUCAUUUGACAACUCAGGAUAGGGAAGUUGUGUACCACCAGCAACACUUGCAGAGUUUACCCUUGAUAGCCCUGUAGAUUUUUAUGAUGUUAGCCUAGUUGAUAGAUACAACAUGCUAGAGUCUAUAUUCCCUUCCAGCGGGUCUGGUGAGUGCAAGGCGGUCACAUGUGUUUCAGACUUGAAUCAGAGAUGCCCCAAGGACCUGCAAGUUCUAAGGAAUGGUACUGUUGUAGCUUGUAACAGUGCAUGCAUGCCAUUCAACAAGCCUGAGUACUGCUGCUCUGGCGCCUACAGUACUCCUGAGACCUCCAAGCCAACAGAGUAUUCUAAAGUGUUCAAGGCUUCUUGUCCUGCAUCUUAUAGCUAGGCAUAUGAUGCCCAACAAGCACUUUCACAUGCAAAGAAGCUAAUUACUUGAUCAGAUUUUGUUAAAAUUUAUGUCGCAUUACUCUGAGAAAAGAAGAACCCUUACAUAUACAGAACAUUUGGACAUCAUAUAAGCACAAUCCAAUGAUGAUAUGUUUAUACUACAGGUAAUCAAUAUGUUUGGACCUUAUGAAAGUAGAUUGGAUUGAAAUGAAUUCCAAUACACUUGUGAACACAAAGAAAACCUAGAUUCAUGAUUCUUAUUGUUAUGGAUGAUGGACUGGUUAUUACUUGGGAUUUAUCUCUGUUGUUAUUAAGUUUGCUCUGCUUUCCUAAUGAUUAAGAUGUAACUUAUAGGUAGAACACUGUCGGGAAAGCUCAGAACCUCAAACCUCAAAAGUUAUUCAACCACCACCCAAACAACUGCCGAAAGCGAUCCACAUAGUUCAAAAUAGAGCACACUCUUAAGUUUAAAGUAUCAAAGUUAUGCACCAUAUUCUUCCAAAGUACCUUUUGCUAAGCUUCUUUCUCUCAGGAUGUUUUUCUAUGAUUCAAAUUAACAUUCAAGAAAUUGGAGUUUGGCAUUUUUUGUCAUUAGUUGGAAAGAGUAUUCAUUUCUGGCAAGUCAUUGCUUGUGCAUAGAGGACGAAAAUAGAUCCUAAUUGUUGUAGUUGUCUUUACCAUUAUGAAGCCAAUACGAAUAAUCCUAAACCACCAUCAUGUAAGAGAGAUAUCUGGAGUAUUUAUAGGGUAAUUUCCUUAAUCAAAAUGAAGACAAGGUAGAUGAAGUAGAAUGGUUAAUUAAGAUUUAAAACAUGAGUAAUAAUAGAGGUGACGAGUUUAUCUCUAUUGCAAAGUUGAAAUCAUUCCCUAGAUCGCAUUGGAUUUGGUGUAGUAGAGAUGAACUCAAUUUUAGACAAAAUAAUCCAACUUCUUGUCAGAUCACUGAAAAACUGCUAGAAUUUAAGUAGAUCAUGAGAAAAUUCAAUUCUUUGAAGUCAAGAUACUGCCUAUGACUUUUGGGUUAAAACCUAUAAGAUUGUUUGGUGGAUUCCACGCGAUGAGGACCAGUUCAAACUAAAAUCAACAGGUCAAAAAAGAGAUAAAAGGUACUAUAGCUAAUUAAUGUAUAAAUGAAUCAUAGUAAUUGUUUGAAGUAACAACAUUCUGGAAGAAGAGAAAGUUUGACACUGGAGAGAAACAAAAUGACAAGACCAUAAAUAACUUACAGUAACUGCUGCUCCAAGACAUCAAUGUGUGGGCCCUCUGAAGAAAUCCGAUGAUGAUCAAGAAGCCAGGCGGUUUCAGAACUUGAGAAACCCCAUCAACAGAGACUGCAGUUUCAACCAUAAAAAUUGCCAUUGAUCACAAAGCAAUAGAGGUGUAGUGCCCACAAUCACUCAAUUCACAGCCUCCUUAGGCUCUAUCUAAAUGGGAAUGUGUCAUGCAUGGAGAAUUGAGGACUUUGCGCUUCAUAAUGUUUAGAAAUAAUAAUAGGGAGAUGAUUCUUCAAUUUUGAGUUCUUAUUCGUCUUGAACAGAUCAAUGAGCAUUCAAUUGUUCAGCACCCAGGAAUCUCCCCUUCCUCUAAUUCCUCCACUGGAAAAACUCUACCAAGAUCUGAACAAUCUAUUCUUUCUUUAGAUUUUACUUCCUUGGAAAAGUAACCUUCCCAAUCAAGAAAAUCAGCAGGAUUAAUUUGAGCAAUUAUAUCAAAGUAUGCAUCAAGCAAGACUUGAUCAAAAUCAAAAUCCAUGUUCUCGCCUGGUUCCUUCUUCUGGGGGGAUGGACUGUGGCUUAUUAGCUUCUGUCGAUUUCACAUGCUUCAUGAGAUCUUAGAAUCUGAGGAUCUGAAGAACCACCAUGUUCUUCUAUUUCCUCUUCCCUGAAUGAAAUGCCUUCUGGACUUGGGUGAUCAAUGGCAACAGACUUCUUAAGCUCUGGUUGAUGACGACAGAGAUUGGCAUCUUUAAUGACAUUGAAAUCAUAGCUAUGUGAAGGGAGGAAAACAUGAAUCAGAGGGUACUCCAGAAUAACUAAACUGGCUAAUUGAUGUCUUAUUGGAGCUCUUAUAUCCAACUCAUAGAAAGGUGACCUGGGACCCUAUAGUGACAUGGAAGGAUUAGAUUUUUUUUCAGAUAGAAUUUUUUUUCUUGUUCACGAGGGGAAAAAUGUUUUGAUAGUGUUUUUUUUUUUUCCGUUUUUAAUAAUAUAAAGCAAGGAAAGUUAUAUACAAGGAAAUGCUACAGGUGGAAAAUAUUUGAGCAGACAUCAGGUAAUGGCUGGAGUUCGGGUGGGAAUAGUAGAAAAUUAUUUUCAUAGGUAACACAGGUGCAAUAGAAUUGAAGGCCAACAGAAACCCAAAUAGAGCAUCCACCAAUAACCCAAUUCAGUCCCAACCCAGGAUGCUCAUUUCCCAAAUCCAGGGGAAAAAAAUGUAAAUUCAGGUAUUUUGUUUACAGACCAGUUGGGGGACCAAUUAUUUUACCCACCAUAAACCAUUAUUUGAACCAGAGAACCAAAGAGACAAGAAUAAUUUUUUGGUUGGCAAUGCACUGCAUGUUGCAAGUUGAGCAAAUCCUAGCCUCUCAAUUUCAAAGAUUUCAGCAGCAGUGCCUAGCAUAAAUGGACCAUCUCCAAAGAGGACGGACAAUAAACCACAGUAAAAAAAUCCAACUAACAAAUGGUGCAUGGAUGAUGUGCUAUACCUUAGCUGGCAUUUUGGCUCAUGGCCUCAACACUAGCUCAAUGCAAUCCAACAAUAAAGCUGGGUUCAGCAUAGUCAACAAGUCAACAACUAUGAAUCAGCAAAGAAAAGGAAAUACCUUCGGAUAUUUACAAAUGAAAAAUUUGAGACAGUCCAACUGCUUUCAACAGAUCGGCUUGAGCUUUUGGCCCAGGCUUUAGAUGGUUCUCAAUUACAGAUGAGAGGGUUGACUGUCAACAAGUCAGCAACUAUGAAUCAGCAAACAAAAGGAAAUACCUUUGGAUAUUUACGAAUGAAAAAUUUGAGACAGUCCAGCUGCUCUCAACAGAUCGGUUUGAGCUUAUGAUUCCAUGGCCCAGGCUUUAGAUGGUUCUCAAUUACAGAUGAGAGGGUUGAGUUUUCAUUUAUUCUGUCAUAACAUUAAAUGAAUCAAUGAAACAAUAAAAUUUGAUAGAGUAGGAAGACUAUUAUAAAAGCUCUCCUGAAGAUAAGAAAAGAUAAGAGAGCUCAUCCAUGGUUGAGUAAAACAAUGUCUAUUGAAAGAGACCGCCAUUCAAUCGUUCAAGUAAUGCAUUUAUCUCUAGCAAAAAAGAUAUGAAAAUGGUAAUGCUAGGAACUGAAAAACAAUUCUUAAUUUACUUAUAAAAAAAAAAUACAAAAUAAAGGCCAAAGACGAUUCAUUGAGUUCAAAAACUAGUUUGACUACUAAUUUUUUAAAUAACAGUGAUAUGAAAACAAAGCUAGAAAAUAGAAACUGCAUGUCAAACAUAAAUCAUAUCAAAUUCAACUAACAAACAACCCAUAAGUAGACAUGUAGUAAUCUUCCUUAUAACUAAAGACAACUAGUUAUCUCAUGAAUACAUGAUUACCUUUGGUUGUAUUCAGAUUUAUUUUUCUCCCUCUUCGACAUUCCACUGGGGAGAAAUAGGAGUUUCGUCCUGUGACUCUGUGAAGCAUUACUAAGGCCUCGAGGAUGGGAUGGAAUCUUAAAAUGAGAAUGCCCGCACAAAUUAACUCUUGUUCUCUGCGCAGAUUCUGCAACCCUCUUCACUUCCUCGAGCAAAUUAUAAUCUACCAAAAAAGAAAAUCAAACUGCAAAAAGGGUAAGUGAAAUCUGAAGACAACACAACAAACUUCCUUAACAAUAUUAUAAUUUACCCAUAAUUAAAAACUCAAAAUCAGAAAAUGAGUACCAAAAUCUGAAGAAAAAGUGGCAACCUUCUUCACAUAAAUUAACGAUCAACCCAUGAAAAAACUUUGAAACCUUAAAUUUGUAUCGAAACUUUGAAAUUUGAAGACAAAACACUCAACUUCCUCAAGCCAAUUACAAAUCACAUAAUACCUACACAGAAAGAUCUUCAAAGCAGCCAUGACUGCGAAGGAAUGGACAAACCAGCAAAAGAAAACACUGUAAUAUGAAGACCAAAGAGCAAAAUUCCCCAAGCUAAUUACAAUACACCAUUGCCGAACAUCUUCAAAAUGGCGAAACAUAUCGAAAUUUCAAGAAAAAAAAAAGCAGUAAACUUCCUCAAUGGUGACCACAAUCCACUGAUGACAAAUCUUCAGAAUAGCCAAAUGGGUAUUGAAAUUUGACAACAAAGAACAAAAUUGGGAGAAAAAGUUACCAGAUAAGAGGAGAUUAUCGUCAAAUUGAGAGAGGGGAACGAACUGGGUCCGCUGCCUCUUACCCGUACACCCAGUUUGUUGCUUGUGAGCUUUAACACAAGGAAGACUACAGGAGCGCACAAAGCAACCUGGGCAUGUGUGCUUUGAUAGAUUCAAUUUGCACAGAGGUGGGUGUUUAGAGUUAGGGCUGUUGCAGGUGAGUCUUCUCGUUCUUCCAUUGGCGAAAGGUUGAGGGCAUUAAGCAGUGUUUUCAGAAGAAAUGACCGUCGAAUGUGAAAUAUAAUAGCUUUAAACUUGACAAUACAUAUUUUUCUUUACAUUUAAACUUUAUUCCUUUAUUUAGUAAAUUGCUCAUUAACUUUUUAAUAAGUUUGGAAGGCAAAAAUAUGGUAUUUUAAUAUAUCUAGAAGUAAAGAGUUGAGUUUUGAAUGUAAGAUAAUAAAAUGCAAAAUAGGUCAAAAGUUUAAAAAAUAAAAUAUAUUUAACAAAGGGUUAUUUGAUUAGAAAGGUCAUUCAAACACUUAAUUUCAAGAAUGAAAGAUUAAUUUUUAAAUGUCUUGAGAUAGCAAAAAAAAAAAAAAAAAUCAUAAUUUCAUAAAAUGAUCAUCAUUAUCAUGGUGCGUUUUGACUUUUCAACAUGAUAUUUAUAAAUUUUCAAUAAUUAUCAAACUUGAAUUCAUUAUUUGAUGCAUAAAUUUGAGAAUGAGAUUGAUUUCUCAAUUAGAUAUUCACUCAUAAUAUCUAAAUUUAAAUUAUUUUUCAUCUUCAAUUAUUUUAUAGUUUUUCUCCUAUAUUCAAGUUAGUAACACUUACAAUGUUUUCAAAUAAAUAAAUAAAUAACUAUCAUUCAUUUCCUAAUUUUUUUUCUUAGAUUUGAGUUAGGAACACUUGUGAUAUGAAAGUACUCUUUCUUUCUCUUUAUCUCGUGAAGCAAUAGAAAGUGAUAAUAUUUUAAUUUCCCAUUUGAAGUGAAAUUACACACUUAUGUAGUAACAAGACUAAUUUUGGGAGCGCUCUUUGAGAUUUUGGAGAUGUUUUAUUAAUUUUAUGAAUGGUUUUAUUUCUUUUGAGAGUAAAAAUUAGUUCUAUCUUCCAUGAUCCCUUGGCAUGAAUAAAAUUUCAAUUUUCCUACAAUAUUAAUAUUUUAAAUUUUUCUCACAUAUUAUCUUCUAUAUGAAAUAUUUUUUUUAAAUUUUUUUUCUUUGAUAUAAUAUUUUAUAAAAGUAAUUUAUUUUAAGAUAAUUUUUGUAUUGCAAUUAAGUAAAAAAAAAAAAUCUUACUUUUUUCUUAUCUAUUAAUCAAGGUAAAUAAAUUUGUACAAAAAUAAAAUUUUCAAAAAUUCAUUUUAACCUAUAUUAGUUAUCAUAUGCAUAAACUAAAUUUGUUCAAGAAUUUGUGUUCUUUUUGUCAAUAUUUUAUUCUAUCAUUUUAUUUGUUGCUUAAUUAUUUAAUUAAGGAUCAUGAUUAAUGAGCUAUAUUUUAUCUAUUUUUCAAAACAAUUUAUUCUAAAACUAACUUGUUUUCAAAACAAUUUUCAUAUAUAUGAAUUUGAUAGUAAUUAAUCAUGUUAUGAAACAAAUAGUUUUCAAUAUUUAUUUUUGAAGAUAAUAUUUUAUUUCACCAAUUUAUUUUAUCAUAUAAUCCAAAAUUUAAAUAAUUUCUAUGAUGAUAAAUUAUUUUUUGUAAAUAUAUAUUAUUUGCUUCAAAAAUAGAAAAAAAAAUAGUUAUUUUAUUAAAAUAAUAAUGAAUUUGAGUGAUUUUAUCAAAUAGAAAAAAAUAAUGGAGCCAUGCCUCCACUACCACGUUUCCAAUAACAACAAAAGUUGAUAUGAUGGUACUAUUUCCUUGAAACUUCACUUAAUAUUUAGGCUUGGGAUGGAGAUGAGGAAUUUAAUCCUUCCUCUUCUUCAUUGUGAUUCCAAGCAAAUGAAAUUAUUUUGAUUAAAACAAGUAUUAGGAUGGAUUAAUCUAAAUUCGUAUGUAGCAUGAAAUAUAUGGUGUAAAUAUACUCAAACAUUUAUACAUGUGAUUUAAUGUUUAAAUAAAUUUAUAUAAUGCUCAAAUAUUUUGUUAUGACUAAUAUCUUAUAACUAUGUUUUACAAUGAUUUCAUGCUUAAAAUGAAGCUCCCGUGUUUAUUGAAAUCUUACUGUAAAUUAGAAAUAGGGAUUAUUUACAAUUUUUUCCAUUUUCAUCCAAACUAAUAAUAAUAACAAAUAAAACAAGGGAAUUAUCCAUGCCCACUCUACCAUCUUAUUUUAGCUUUUUUUUACUUUUUAAAAUUUUAAUUAAUUAUAUUAAAAAUAGUAUAAUUUAUUAUUAUUAUUAUAUCUAUAUGUGUAAGAAAAUAAAAAUAAAUUAAAUCAAAUUAUUUCUUUAUAUAUUAUUUAUAUAAUAUUAAGGGAUGGGAUAACAUAGUCUCCAAACUCAAUUGGUUUUUUUUUAAAAAAAUAAAAAAUAAAAAAAAAUGACAUAUUUCAAACAUUUUUAUACUUUUCUCAAACUUAUUUUAUUAACACAAGAAAAGCCAAAUAUUUUAAAAAUUAUUUUACAAAUAAAAGUCAUUUUGAAAAAAAAAAAAAAAACCAUUUUGUUGAUGACUGAUACACCAUCUUUUAUUAUUUAUUUUUAUUUUAAGAGUAAAUUUUUAAUAUAAACAUAAUAUAAAUUUAUAUCCAAAUUAUUUUUUGAAAAAUAUAUCCAUAACAAUCCUUAGAAUAUUUUUUUUAAAAAAAAAUCAGUUAUGCUAAAAAGAGUUAUUUUAAUGCUGCAUUGUUAUUAUUAUUAUUAUUAUUAUUAUUAUUAUUAUGCUAAACUAGUAGAACCAAAAUAAUUUAUAAAUUUAUAUUAUAAAUAUUUAAAAAAAAUAUUAUUGUAGACCCCUUUUUUGACCGGUAAACACUUGUUUUUUAUUUAUUUAUUUAUUACUAUUAUUUAUUAUAUUUUAUUUCUUUUUUUAUUUCUUUUCCUUUUACCCACUUUCCUGUCUCAUGAAAGUUUGGUUUUUUUACAGGAUAGUGAAACCUUCUCUACAGAAGGGGUGGAGAACACCUAUAAAAGUGAGUGGGUUGCAAGAGACACGUGAGAAAAUGACACUACUACCUUGGCAUGGUGGUGGUUAAGAUGGAGACAUUUUUGAACGGGGAGAGUAGAGAAAAGGGUAAGCAAUAAGAGACUGUUGGGGGAGGCUUGGAGGAGAAGCAAGAACUGGGUGAAAGUUGGAGCAAUUUGGUGGGACGGAGGGGAGAAAAUGAUGUAAGAAAAGCUAUGGGUUGUGUAGGUUGAUAAGGGAGCUGUGAGUAGAGGAAGGAGGAUAUGGAUUUUAAGAGAGUGAGCAAAAGAUUUGGAGGAAGCUAGGUGAUAUACGUUUGAGGAAAAGAAGUUGAGGAAGAUCUUGCUGAGUUGUGAGAAAGAAAGUAAAGCUUAAAGCCAAGAAAUUCCCAGAUAUGACUACUGUGAACUUCUUCUAUUUCGUUUUAACACGAGUUUACUCUUAUUUUCAGUUAAUUUUUUUGAGUAUUAAUAAAAUAGAAAUGGGACAACGCAAUUAUCAAAAUCGAUCACCCAACCCAACCGCUAUUCAACGGUGCCUCGGCAAUACAACAAGAAACCUAGACGGACCAAAAGUUUGAGUCUAAACGGAUCGUCCAAACGAAACUUGUAGGGCAAGUCUCUUAAAUCAGUAGACAGAGGAAGAAUCACCCCAUCGUGCCAGCGCAAUGGUAGUAGGACGAAACACUUGAAUCGAUGGUUGAAUGCACUGACAACGUGGGAGAAUAAAAAGGAACCUGAAAAGCCCUAAAUCUAACCAUCGGUACAACCAUCCUUUCCAAAGCAAAAACACCAAAAAAAAAACCCUAGAAUCUAGAUGUCAGGGCGUUCAUUUUCUGUCUAAACCUAAUAACCGUCGGCGCGAUUCAAAAGAGAACUUCAAACAGAAAGAAUGGUGAGCGGCGGGAAGCUUACCGGGGUUAGAAGUGAGCGCUCCUUAGCGAGAAGAAAUCCACUAGAAACAAACCUGAGAAUGGCAAUGAGAAGGUAAAGGACGACCGGAGGCACACACAGCGAUGACGAAGGCGCAAAGAGGGAAGGAAAAACUUCGAAGCAAGAAAAAACCAAAAAGUAACCCAAAAGGUGUGGAGCCCCUAGAUUUAUAGGGGCCUAAAAACCUAGGAAUCUGAAGAGACAAGCCGCUUGGAAACGCUUCUUGAUGAGGUGUGUCGUUUGACGGCCAACCUUGGUGGAUGUGACGCAUCAUUGCCUCUCCGAGUGACAUGUGUUUUAAAGCGUGCCCAAGAGACUUAAAGAGAUGGAUAAUCCGUUCCACCUCAACUCGUCGGCUGCACGUCCGGAUAGAGGUAGACAAAUUAAGAGGGCAUUGUGGGGGGUUCCCCUCCAUGUGUCCUUCUCAAACUCAAGACCCCUUGGCCGAUCAGGACAAACAUGUAACCCGUCUGGGUUCACUUCAUCUAGACCAAGACAAGUUCCGUCUGGCACCAGGAGUGAGAGUUUUCCUUUCUUCCACAAGGUUAGAUGGAAUCCACAAUCUGGGCUCGCUAGAAUCUCAGACUGAAAAAUCUAUCCAAUCAAGUCCUCAAGACUUUUGGCAAGCGUGAUCAACCACGCCUGACGUCUGAGCGCCCACCUGGACACCUGACAUCUGAGCGGCAGACGAGACUCCAUUUACACUCAAAAGUCAAUAUCAAUUAAUUGUUACAUAUAAUCCUAGACAUUGGUAGGAUGAAUGGACAGUCAGUUGCAUAGUUCGAGAUUUUGGCACGUCAGCAUAUGGCACCAAUCAACCGCCCUCAUUUGACAUGAUUGCCCAGCAAUCAUCAUUACAAGAAAUAUUAGAGUGCGUAGCCAGCACUACGGUGAUGAUGUCAUCGGCUCUAUAUAAACCCCUCAAAAAGCACGAACAAGGUACGCACACAUAUACACUUAUUCUUUCUCACAAAUAGUUAGAGCUAUCUUUGUCUGACUUAAGCUUCGGAGGGGUGUGCCUGGACCACCUGUCCAGACAUCCUUUUGUGUAGAGAAAAAGUCCGCCUAACUUUUUUGAAGUUGGAUAGACUUGACUCUGGUUGGCUCACCACCAACAAUCGGGUCAAGAAUUUUAGAUGGAUCUACUUCAAGAAACAACACAAGAACUUGUCUAAUGAUCGAUCCAUCCAUUUCAUUUCACACAACCAUUCCAUCCAUUUCAAGAAAUAGUGUAAGUGAUCAAGAGGCAACUACAAAAGAGUGGUUGGGUCAUAGUUUUAAAAAGCUUAAGGCGCACCAAGGCACAAAGUCUUCCUAGAGCCUGAGGCGUAAAGACACACCUAAGGCACCGAUUUUAGUGAAGUGAGACACACUUUAUUUUACAUAUAUAUUUUUAUAUAAUAUAAUCAAGUGCCCGAAAAUUUUCUUCUGUUUUUACCCUAUUUCUUCGUUUUCUUUUUUUCUUCACAUUAUUCAGGAGGCUAGGGCAUUUUUUUUGUUUUUUGUUUUUGUUUUACAAGUCCAAACACAAAUAUAUAUUGGGUUUUAGAAGAAGAACAGGCCAAAACAACAUUGUUUUUGGCCUUUUUUUAAAAAAAAAAAAUGUAAAAAGACAACGUUGAUUUGGACCAUGUUAUUUUAAAAGAACAAACCCAACGACGUCGUUUUGGUCUUAAAAACAUUAAAAAAAGAAAACUCUUGUCAUUCUCCCUCUAUUGUUGUGCAACUCAUCACCGGAGGGUGAGAAAAUGACCAAAAGAAGAAGACAAUGGAUGAGGAUAAAGGCGUGCCUGUUGGGGGCGUUGCGCCUGGUUGGGAGGCGAGCACUUUGUGUGCCUAAUUAGUGCCUCCAUGAAGGGACGACGCUUGCAAUCAAGUGAGGCACUGGAGGGUGGCAUUGAGUCGCCUGGAGCCUAGGCGCGCCUUUCACAACUAUGAGUUAGGUCAUGAAUUUAUUCUUCUUAUGUAAUGAUUGAUCUAUCCAUUUCAUUUCACAGAACCAUUACAUCCCCGUUUCAAGAAACAAUAUAUGGACAUACUUGUUGUAAUGUGGUCAUCGAACGGUGGGAUUUUUUUUACAAUCAAUAUGGUAGCUUAAAAAAAUAGUUUUUAGACUAAUGUAGUAGAAAUUUUUUUUAAAAAUUUAUUGUAAUUUUUAUCAAGUAAGAAAAAGAAAAUUAAAAAAUCGUUAUUUUCUUUUAAAAUAAUAUUUUCAAAAAAUAAUUUUUUUUCCUUUUAAAAAAAUUUAUAACAAAAAAAUUGUAUUUCUAAAAACGUUUCUAAAAUUUCUUUAAAAAAAUUUAUAAGUUAAAAUCUUAUUUUGAUGAGAUGAUUUUUUUCCCUAAAAGUGGGUAGCACCAAUUGAGGUUGAUCUGGAACCACCAGAUCCCUCCCCAGCCUUGUCUUUCCAAAAUAAGUAUCAAGCUGUGGGCUCCCUCCCCCAUAAAAUUGGUACCCUCCUGUUAUUGCUCCCUCCGUCCAAAAAGGCCAUCACAGUAGGGUACAAUGGUUGCAUGUUGAUUGAACUUGCAUUUAUAUAAGGGAAUCAAAGUUUUAAUAAAUAUAUCUAAUAUUUUUAGUUUUAAGAAGAUGUGGGAUAAAUAAUUUUCAUUUCUUUUAAAACAACAGAUAAUACAGUAUAAAGACAAGCAAAUAAAUAUAUAUGAUAAAGAAAACUCCAUCCAAAAAAAAAAAAAUCAUAUUACAAUUUAAAAAUCCCUAUACACACACAAAAAAAAAAAGUCCUUGCUAUAAUCUAAUAAUAUAAACUAUUAAAUACUAACCUAUAAGUAAUUUAUUUUAUUAUUAAUCUUUUUUUAUUCUUUAUUUACUUAAUAUAUCUCCUCUUGAUUAAUUUAAGUUGGGAUUUACUUCUUUUUUAUUUUUAACAGUUUUAAUUUUAUACUUUAAUCUUAUAAAUAGAAAAUAAAUAUCAUGUUGAUAAUAAAAUUCACAAUAUAUAUAAAGAUUUCUAAAAAAAGACUGUAUUGAAUUAAACAAAUGGGUUAAGUAAGUCUGAAUAUUAUUAAAAACAGAACGGAGAUGAAAAGAAGAACAAAAUGGAAAAAGAGGAAAAUAUCAGCGAGUACCUCGGAAAGCUUGUCUCCUUGAGCUUGAAAGGAGUCGGCGAGUUGUUGAGUGGAUGGGCCGUCGGAAGAAUCUAGGGCUUUGCGGCCGCGAAACUCCUCUUGCUCUUCCACCUUUGCCUUCAUGGUACUAGUAGGUUGCUGCUCCUCUUCAUCUUCUAAUGGACGAUUUGAUAUUAGCGGCUAGUGACCGGCGACCGCUACUUGUCAUUGCCCAUGCUCUGCCUCUUCCACGUUAUUUUCAUCCUCAUAGGCUUUGUAGUUCAUAUAUGGGCUGACCCUCAGCUUAACUGGACUGGAGGCCCAACGUCCAGCCCAUCUUCACAUUAAUUGGGCCCAACAAAUAUGCUGAACCCAAAUCAUGUCCUCCAUUUACACAUUAAUUUCCUUAUCACUUGUCAAUACAAUAAUCCACUGCUGUAUAGUCCGCGACUACACACGAUAAUCAUCGCAAAGAUUUCUAGAAGGAGAGUUUGCCCGGUUGCUCACCACCGUGGAGCAACGUCGUCCCCACGUAACAUUUAGACACAUCGGCUACGUGUCAUCAUCCUAGGGCCUCAGAAUCUGGCGCUGAAUUCUUAGAGAUUGUACAGGGCGCGUGAAAUGAGAUGGGUUCCACCCACGUGGAAUGGCUUAAUGCCCAAGUUAUAAUCUGAUUGGCUCUCCUCAUUAUUUUAAGGCUCAACCUAUUAAGACCAAGUGAGAGUGAGAUGGAGAUGGAGAUGGAGAUGAAGGCCACCGGAGAAAUGGUACCAACAAGGAUAAAAAUAUCAGUAAUUAUUUUGAUUUUACAGAUAUAAACUUAAAAUUAUUAAAAAUUCAUAAAAAUUCAUAAAAAUAUAAAAAAAACUUCAUAAUAAUAUAAUUAAAAAUAUAAUAGACAUUUUAAAGUUAUUUUAUUGAAAAUUUUGAUAUAUAUAUAACAUGAUUUAUCAUAUUUGAUAAUAAUAUCAUAUGCAUCAAUAAAAAUAUGAAUUUUAUAAGUGUAUAUUUAUUAUUAAAUUAUAUAUAAUAUUAUGUAUUUGAUUAUAAUAUGUCUAAUUUUAAAAUAUAUAUUAAUAUUAAAAUAUGAUCCAUUUAAUUCAAUUAUAUUAAACAAUAUAAAAUAAAUUAUGAUAUAUAUAUAUAAUUUUUUAAAUAUUUAAUUAAUUAUUAAUGAUAUUAAAAACAUUAUGAAGAAAAUUAUAUAAUUUUUAUAUUUUUGGUAAUUAAUUAAAGAAAAUUGAAGUGUAUACUAUAUGGGCUUGCUGGACGAGUUGUUAAUUAUUUAAUUAAUUGGUUACACUUAAUGUUAAUUAAUGAUUAGUGAUUAAUUACGGACUUUGGGUUAUGUAAGAUACUAAGAUUACUGCUAUAUAAUAUAAUAUAAUGCUAAUGCCUGCAACUGUCAAGAGUCAGGAGUCAACAGUCAACUGCUAUAUAAUAUAAUAUAAUAGCAGUAAGUGAAAUAAGGCCUGCAGGCUGUAGGUUGUAGGGGAGAUCGAAUUCAUAUUUAUAUUCUACAUCCAUCAAUCCAUUAUCCAGUCAAAUUUCUCCAUUUUCCAUCCCAUUUGACUCUACCAUCUCUAUCAAUCAUUUUGAGCGCGUGGAGCCACUCUCAUGCAGAUAUAGUCCAAUUUGAGCGCGUGAAUCCUGACUAUAUCAUCAGUGCGUCCUCCACCAUCUGGAUCAAAUCAUGGAAUCAGAGAGUGAAUUAGAGAUAGUCCAGUUUAAUUCAAUAAUCAAAGAAAAAAAAAAAAAAAAGACACAGAUGUGGAAGAAAAGAUUUCACGGUUUAAUUUUUUUUUUUGAUAGAUAGAAAUUUGUUAUCAAAUUUUAUUAUUAAGUUUUAAAAUUAAAAAUCAAUAAUAAGAUAUAAUUUUUGUCACCAAAAUCACUCUAAAAACAAUUUCUCCCAUCAUAUUAUUAUUUACCUUGGUAUUUAUGAACUUGUAAAUUUACUAAAACUUCCUCACCCAUUAUUAAUUUUUUUAUUUAAACAUUUUUAUUAUUUUAUUUAAAAGUAUGCAACAUAGCUAAUCUUUUAUCAUAUUUUCUAUCAUUUCCUAAUAAGUGAAUAAUUGAUGAUAAAAAUAAUAAAAAAAAUUUAUUUUAUUUUUAUGUAUAAUUUAUGAUUUAAAAAUGUAUAAUUAUUAUCAAAUCAAAUCAUUUGGAGGUCAAAUUUUUCUAGAGAUAUUACAAGGUUUGAUUUUGAAAAUGAUUAGAAUUUAUAUUUCAAUCAAAUUUGUAGUAGGUGUUAUGUUUUAUACUCUUUUUUUAUUUAAAAGAAAAAAAGUAAAAUGCAAAAUAAUAAUAAAUUUAUUUUAUUUUUAUUUCUUUACUACUUGUGUGAAUGAACGUGCCGCUUCAAACUUUUCUAGGAAUGGAAAGCAGAUGAAAGAAGUAAAUAUUUCUUAUAUUUUGAGUUUUGAAUUCAAAAUGUCAAAGACAUUUAUAUAUAUAUAUAUAUAUUAAAAAUCCUUACCAUGAAAUGCAUUUAACACCCUUGUUGGCCUCAUUUUGAAGCUGAGGGACGGGGACCCGAGAGAAGCCGAACUAAAAGGGGCUAAGAGUGUGGUCAACACCCUGUCCUAGUGCCAAUCUCGAUCUUUCUCUCCAGAUCUCGCCGGCGGCGAUCUCCCAUAAUCUCUGGUCAGUCAAUCUCAUUUUUUGUAGGGUUUUCGAAAUUGGGCAAAAGUAUGUUGAGUUUUUUGGUUUUGAUUGCUGAAGAAAUUGGGGAUCUUUGUUUGGUUGUCUUCAAAGUUUAGGAAAGAAAGCGAAAAUAAAUUUAUUUGGAAUAUUGCAAUGGUUUGUCAGGAGUUUUUAGGCUGAUGAUGUGCUUUUUAGUGGCUCCAAAAUUUCUGCAGCUUAGUUGUUAAUUUGGAGACACAUUUGUUGUGUUGUUGUUCCAAUGGAAUGUUGUGAGCUUAUAGGGUUUAAUGUUGAUGUGCAAAUCUGUCUUAUUCACUGAUCUUCGGUUUUAUUUUAAUGGAUUUAAAUACGCUAAACCAGUAGAAAUUAAAAUGGGUAUUACACAAGAUUUCCUCAACGCUGUUGAUGAGUGUCUCCAGGAGGAACUUAAGUGUCUCUGCAAGUAUUCCAUUAAGCAGGUGUUUUCUGGAGGUUGGUUUUUAUUUGUUUCAGUUAAUUGCUGAACCUUCAGCACUUCAUUUUGUUGUAAGAAAGUGUCUCUUUUACUAGGAUUGUUGCAAGCGUUUUUCAAUUUUGGUUGGAUCUUGGGAUGAGAGGUUUACAUAUUUGGUUUAUGAGAAAAUGCAGGGAAGAAAAGUGGAUAGUGAAAUGCCAUAUAUGGGAUUUUCUAUUGUUUGGGAACAGAAAAUGCAACUUUUAAAUAUACCUUUUCCUGUGUUCUGUUUUGUGUAAGAAUGGAAAAGAUUAGCGACUGCUGUUAGUUUAUACUUCCCAUGUUCAGAGGAUAUUACGGAGAGGUAGUUGGGAGGCCUAACUAAAUAAUACGUAAAAAAUAUGUUAUAUAAAUCAAUCAUAAUUUUAUUAUAUAAAACCAUAUUUACAACGAAACAUAUCGGAAUUUGAUCUUAUGUAUAGAGAACAUUUAGGGUAACCCUUUAAAUAUAGAAGCACAUUAUUUCUAAGAUAGUACAAAAGACAAAUUACGUAAUCUUACUUUGGUAAUGGCCUACAGGGGUAACUGCUCCUCUUGUCCUCUGUGCCUCCAUCGCUGGUGUUGUUUUGAGUCCUGAACAUAUCAAAGUGAUAAAAUAGUUUAUUCAAGUAGCAUACAUAUACAUAGAAUUGGAUAGAUGAUGGAAGUGCGUACAUGGUUAACAUGAAUAAAUAAUUCAUAUUCAUACUGGUAAUGGUAUUAUCAAUCUAAACCCAACAUACACUUGUUCAGGACUAAAUUUUUGUUGUAUACAUCAUAUAGGGUGAUGUAUAUAUUCUAACUAAAACAUUUAUGUAAAUUACACAUUCUUGAAUAUCAAUAAAUAUGAGUUCAAUUCUAUCUUAUUCAUACAACUUGAAAAUCCGCAUUGCAAGACUAAAAGUGCCAAACAAAUAUGAAAAAAAAAUUAAAACUGAAGUGGUUGAAGUGUUUUGAGCAUCAUACCUGGGAGAAAUGGAGUCUAAACUGGAGGCCUUUGUAAUCCCUCUACAAAUAUGGGAUUACGAGUCAUGAACACAGCAGAUAAGUAGGGUGCCAGACGACUUAUCUGGUAAAGAAAAUGGAGACAAAGUUGGUGUAAGCAGUCCCAUGCCAUCUUUACUGUAAGGAAGACCCAUAAAAAAAGCAGCAACAACCCAUAUAUUGGAACUAAAAUCAACAACAAUAAGAUUGGGGCAAGUGCGCCAGAGAGGAGUUGAAUGGGCUCGAUAAACUUAAACUUCUUGCCAACAAUAAUUGUUCCAACGUAGAUGGAAAUAACAACAACAAAAGAAGAUAUAAUGGCAUCUUCAAAUGGGGAAACACUGUUGCCUUGAAAUUUCACUUGGAGAAGGACACCCAACAUUGUAAGGAAGAAUACAUAAGCUUCAAAUCCAUUGCGGAAACUUGAUCCUGCUCUGUGAUGCCAGGAAAAUGAAAUUACUUUGAUUGUAAUCACAUUUAAUGAAACAAGUGUUUAAUUAACAAGUUAUUAAUGAAAUUCAUAAUAAACCAAGAAAAUACACAAAGCCUUCAUUAUAAUGAAGGCACGAAUACAAUGCUAAAUUUAAUUAAUUAAUACCUAUAUUUGUGAAGUAUGUGAUGGUGGAAAUAAUUACCUGAAUCCAGUGUUGUGUCAUAGUUAAAUGACUCAAGGUCCUUCCCUAAAUUUUCCCUAAAUCCAUUUAUCAUCUAUAAGGUUCCACUGUUCAAAAGUUUUUGAUAGAUAGAAAUCUGGAUUAUGAGAAAAUGUGAGGAAGAAAAAUAGAAAGUGAAAUGCCAUAUAUGGGACUUUCUAUUGUUUGGGAACACAUAAAAUACAACUUCUACUAUGGAUAAGGGGAUUUGAUCUUUAAAUAUGGAUAAGGGGAAGAGUAAUUACCAAUGUAUAGAGAAAAAAACAAAGAUACCACCUUUUGUUAAAAUAACUUACUAAUAUUAAAACAACACUUUUAACUAGAGUAUAGGAUGACACCACUUUAAAAACUACAAGAACACAAUAUUUAUUAUUCCAAUGGGCCAAAAGGCCCAAAACAACUCAACAACUCUAAACCAAGGGUAACUGCCCCUUUUACUCUUCUUUCCUAUCUCUCGUGUUGUAUUGAUUCUUGAUCCAUAUGACAAGGAGUAGCCAUUCAAAAUAUAGGAUCAGGAUCAAUAAUAACAAAGUUGCAGCUACAAUUCCACUCAGGUACCUAAUAUGACCCAACAUAAAGAAAUGUCUUUUGUCUUCAAUUUUGAGGGUUUCAUCGUAUUUGAGGAUUUUAUAAACAACUAUGAAAUAUAUAAAUAUUGCAAAUAAAAAGAUUUGCAUAGGCAACCGGAGGAACAUUCUCAUGUUCAUACUUUAUAAGGACAUUUGAAACUAGAUUCAUGAGGAAAAAGAUGAAAAUCGAUAAAGCUCUAUCAUGAAAACAAUAAAUAAAAAAACAGGAAAUUCAAUUAAAUUUACGAAAAUAAGGCACUAGUAACAUCAAUUCAAAAAAUUAAGUAAAUAUGAUUAAAUUAAUCCUUUUAUCUAAUUUUAAAAAAUACUAUACAAUUUUAUGUAAAUCAAUUAUAGUUUUAGAAUAUUAAAAGCACAUUAGAAAUAUAAAGAGUAGUCCUUUGUGUUUUAAUGGAUAAAAGACCUAACAUUAUAUUUGAGAAGCAAAUGAUUGAAAUAAUAACUCAAUUUUAUUUUGAGAUUUAAUUUAAAACUAAAGUUUGAAAUUUUGAGUACCGAUAAAUAGAAAAGCAUUGAGGGGAAAAGAGUGCAAUGUCAGUGGUAUUAUUUUCAUUGAAACCAUACCAUACAUGAAAGACAAUUUUAAUUGAUUAAGAUAUACUUUUAAAUGGGUAUAUGUCAAAUGAAGGCACAAACGGAGGUACCAUGUGAAACAUAAAAGUUGAAAGAAAUGAUUUAAAAAGAGUGAUUGAAUUCAACAAAUGGGUCAGGUAAGUUAGAGAGCAUUAAAAACAAAAUCGAGAUGGCUCGACGAACAAAAUGGAAAAAGGGUACGAAGGAAAAGCCGUUGAGGCCUUUGAUGCAAGAAAAUGAUGAGGAAGAGAGCAGCAAUCAUGUGUGUGGCAUGAUUGGGCAACCAUAAAAUAGCAGGAGAGAAGAUGGCAUACCGUGGUUGUCUGGCCAUGAAGAGAGGGGGAAGUCUGAAAGUAGAUGCUUGCUGUAGAGCGAGAGGGAAUCAGGAUCAGAAGAUCAGAGAACAAAGUUCACUUCCUUAAAUUUUCCCGUGCAAGGCUCAAUGCUUGCAUAUUGAUUGUGUUUGCAUUUUUUAAGGAAAUAAAAGUUUUAAUAAAUAUAUAUAAUAUUUUUUGUUUUGAACCGAUGUGGGAUAAGUAAUUUUUAUUUCUUUUAAAACUACACAUAACACAAUAUGAGAAACAAAAAAUAAAUAACUAUAUAUCAAAAAAGAAAGUUAACUCAAAAAAAAAAAAAAAAAAAUAUUAUAUUACAACUUAAAAACCCUAUACACAAAAAAUAAAAAAUAAAAAAUAAAAAUCUUUGCUACAAUCUAAUAAAGUAAAUCGUUAAAUACUUAACUUUUAUUUUUAAUAAUUUUAAUUUUAUAAAAAGAAACUAAAAUUAUGUUUUCUAUUUUAAAAAAUAAAAAAUACUAGUAAUUUUUAUAUCAAAUAUAUCACUCUUAUAUAAAAACUAAAUUCUUAUCUUAUAUCCUUACAAAUUGGUUCUAAAAUUUUUAAAAUUUGAGAUUGUGCAGAUAUUUUAAUGACUUAAAAUAAUUUUUAAAGGUAAUUAUAUUUUUAAACAAGUCUAAAAAUUCUUGUAUUUUAUAUAAGAGUUAUUAUAGAAAAUGAAUUAGGAAAGAUAAGAAUAGUGAUUGGAAAUUUGAAAAGAGAGUUGCAAAUAUUUUAAUUCUAUUUUUUCUACAAUUAAACCCUAAAAUGAGAAUUGAGAUUUAUGAAUUGUGCAAUUUAUAAAGGAAGACGUUUUUCUUAUUUUUUCUUUUCUUCCCUUGCAUAUAUUUCGGAGAUACAGCUCGUUCUUGGAUUCCACUUUAUGUAAAUGGAAGAAUGAGAAAAAUUAGUUGUUUAUAAUAAUUUAUACCUCUAAUCUUCUUGGUAAGAUUAACUUAAGUAUUAACUAAUCUCUCGUAUCAUUAUUAUUAUUAUUUGACUUAUUCAAAAUCCUCUUUCAUUCUUUUACCUUUAAAUAUUAUAUUAAUUAAGGUUGAUGAUGCAACGCCUUGUCUUAUCAUAGUCAUUUGGCUUUGGCGUCUCUUUUGGUCUUGAAAUAAACUCAUGAGCAUUAGUACCUUCGUUGGAUGGAGAGAGAAAGGAGCAGGAUUUUUUUAUAUAGGUUAGGUAUUUUAAAAAAAAUAAUUCCUAAUCUACCGUUCUGAAAAAUAAUUUUAAAUUUGUUAUAAUUUUUAUUGAUUAAAAAAAAGAAAAAUAAAAAUCAUCUCUUAAAAAAAUUAUAGGUAAAAAACAUCUCUUAAAAAAAGAUUUAAAUUUUUUUUUGAAUUAUAAACUAAAAUCGUCUCUAAAAAAAGGAUAAUUUAAGAGAAAGAAGAAAUUUAGAGAGAAAUUAAAGAAUAAUAUUUUUAAUUUUAAAAUUUAUCUAAUAAAAUUAAUUUAAAAUUUAAAAUUAAAUAAUUAUUUAAUAAAUUAAAAAAUAAUUUAAUAAUAAAUUUAGUUUUUUAUAAACUCAAUUUUUAUAUUAUCAAUAUAUAUAUAUUUUUUAAAAAUCUGAGAGUGAAAGAAACAAAAAGUAAAUAUAUAAUAUUUUUUAUCUUAUAAAUAAAAAAUAAUAUAAAACUAAAUUAAUUUCUUUUUAUAGUUAUAGUUAAUUUAAUUAAUUUAAAAAUAAAUUUAGAGAUAAAUACCAAAAUAUUUUUGAAAUCAAUAUAUAACUUAAUAUAAAAUAGUAUUUUUUACUAUUAAUAUUAAACAUAAUUUAUAUUUUUAUAAAAUAUUUACUAAAAUAUAAUAGUUUUGAAACUAUUUCCAAAUGAGUAUAGAUUUGAAAAUAGCUUGUGGUUUGAGAUUUGAAGUUUCAUUUAAAAAUCUAAUAUUGCUCAAAAUAGUAAGAAAGUUUGUGAUUUGAGAUUGAAAAUUUCUCCAUGACAACUACUAUGGAAUAGAUAAAUGUUAUAAAUAACAAGAUUUUGAUAAUGGGUGAAUCAGUUGUCUAACUUCAAGAUCUCGUGGGAUUAAUCGAGGUGUGCGUAAUCUGGCUUGGAUAUCUACGGUUAUCAAAAAAAAAAAAUAGCAAGAUUUUAAUCAUUAUGUUAUUUUGUGUAAAGACAUGUUUUGUUGAUCAUAUUUUGCUAGAAGAGCUCCUCCAUAAAAAUAAGUACAAAUUAAUAAGUUAGUGCAAUGUUUGUUAUCACACAAAAGAAUAUGAAAUUUCAAGUAGAUUUAUUUUGUUUUUAUUUUUAUUUUAAAUUGCAACUGUCUUAAUUUAUUUUUUUAUUUAAAACUUAACAUGCUACCCCCAAAUUUGGAAAAUUUUUAAUUUAGUUAAUAUCAAUUUAUUUUAAAUUUAUUAUUAUUAUUAUUAUUAUUUACUAAUAUUAAUUUAGUUGCAACUAUUAUCUUAAUUUAUUUUUCAUUAAUUUAAAAUUGGAUUAUUAUUUUUCAUUUUUCAUUUUUUAUUUUUCAUUUUUAUUUUUGAAAUUUAAUUCAGUAACAGCUUUAUAAGACAUGUUUAUAUUAAUUCAUUUUUCAUUAGUUUAACGUUGAAUUAUUAUUAUAUUUUAUUUUGAAAUUUUGAAAAUUUUCAACACUAACGAAAUACAAGGGAUUUGCACCAUCAUCACAAUAGAAUCUAGACACCUAAGAAGUGUAGGACACCACCGUCCAUACAUGCAGACUUCUUAUCUUUUGUUACUAAUUUUGCUCUGCUUUCCUAAGGAUUAAGAUGUAACUUAUUGUUAGAAUACUGUUGGAAAUCCCAAACCUGAAACCUCAAACUUCAAAAGUUAUUCAACUGCUGAAAGUGAUCUGCACAGUUCAAAACAGAUCAAGCUUCCAAGUUGAAGUAUCAAGUUAUGCACCAUAUUAUUCCAAAGGACCUUUUUCUAAGCUUUUACUUAAAACAACAUUCAAGAAAUUGGAGUUUGGCAUUUUUAAAAAGAGCAUAUUCAGCUCUGGGAAGUAUUUCUUGAGCAAAGAGGAGUGAAAAUAGAUCCCUAAGCCUAUGUUUGGUUUUCGGAAAAUGUGAGAGAGAAAAAUUUGAAAAUAAAAAUGGAAGGAAAAAAAAUGCUAAGGAAAUAAAUAUAAUUUUUUUCAUUUAUUUGGUUAUCUAUGAAAAAUUUAAGGGAAAAAAAAAAUUCAUUUUCUUUUAUUUGGUUAACCACAAAAAACAGUUAAAAAAAAAUAAAAAGAAAAUAAAAUUAAUAAUUUGUUGAAUAAUAAAAUAAAUUUUAUGCUCUUAUUUUCUAAAAAUCAGUUUUGUAAAACUAUUAUAGAAACAUAUAACCAACCCAUACCUUAACUCAAAACAUUACUUCUUAUAGAAAUUUAGGUGAAAAUCAAUACUUAAAUAAACCAAAUUCAAUAAUUUUAAAAAUUACAAGCAAACAACCAAAUUUCCAGCCAAAUAACACUGCAUUUAUGCUCUUGUACAGCAAAUUAACACGGCACAGUAAAUGUAUUCGGAUCCAUGGGAAAUCGUUUUGGUGUCGAGCUGAGAUUGAACCUCGUCAGCACAGAGAGUGGACUUGAACCAAAGAGACAAAACGGCUGUUGCACGUUCUCAUAAAAUAUAAUAAUAAAUAUUUUUAAGUUAUUUUAUUGAAAAUUUUGAUAUGUAUAUAUUUAAUAAGUUGUUUUAGUUUGAACAAAGAAAUUAAUAAUACAUAUAAGCACAUAUACACCCAUGGCGGCUCCAUAUCUGUUGGUGAGUACUCGCACGUGGUUCUUACUCUCUUAGAAAGUGUGGGUUUAUUGGUCCAAGUCUGCAAGUAGAGAGAAAACAGCGCCUCUGAUUCUUACUCUCUAAGAAAGGGUGGGGCCCACGUUGUUUCCUUGUGGGGUUAUUGUGGGUUUGAAUGGGAUGGGUUGAUUAGUCAACGUGGGUGUAGGAUAUCAGUGGGUCCUAGGGAGAAAACGGCGUCACUUGUUCAUAUUCUUAGAUUCCAACUCUACUUCAUGGAAAUGGGUACAAAAUUCCAAUUCUACUCUAUUGAAGUGGAUAGCGUACAAAAGAAGGUACCAUACCUGCAAAAUUCUUGACAGUUGGAUCAAAAGCUUCCAAUCAAGACCAUCCAAAUAAAUAAAUAAAAAAACGCAGGCAUCUCCCCUCUUAAAAUAUAUAUAUAUAUAUAUAUAUAUAUAUAUAUAUAUAUAUAUAUAUAUAUAUAUAUAUAUAUAUAUAUAUAUAUAUAUAUAAAAAUCCCUGCUCUUCCUAUUUAAUUUUAAUAAUUUUUUCAACUUCAAAUACAUUGUUUAUUCAAAAUAAUUUCAUUUAUAAUUGUUGAAAAUUAGGAGGUUACAAAGAAUUUUUGUUCCCAAUUUCCAUCAAUUGUAAGUGCAAUUAAUAUAAAUAAAUACUAUUAUUAUUAUUUGGUGUAAAAAAAAAAUUCAAGUUAAAGCAAAUGAAAAUUUUAAAAAGUAUGAGGAAUAUGAUGAAUAAUAGUGUUUAUUUUAUAGUUUGUAUCCUCUCCAAUUUUAUAAUUUUUAACUUAAUUUUUUUUUUUCAUAAUUUUCAUCAAUCUAAAUGUAAUUAGUAUGAAUAAACACUAUUAUUUCUAAUUGAAGUGGAGAAAAAAAUUAUUAAAAUUAAAACAUAUGUAAAUAUGAAUAUUAUGAAAAAUGUGAGGUUUUCUCAUAAUCUUUAUACCUUUUCCAAUUUUGAAGUUUUUACUUUUAAAUUUUUUUUCACCAUUUUCAUUAAUUCUAAGUGUAAUUAGUAUGAAUAAAUAUUAUUAUUAUUAUUUAAAAUAAAAAAAAAAUUCUUAAAAUUAAAACAAAUGUAAAUUUGAAGGGUAUGGUUUUUUUUUCAUAAUUUUUAUCAAUUUUAAGUAUAAUUAGUAUGAAUAAACACUAUUAUUGCUAUUUGAAGUGGAGGCAAAAUUGUUAAAAUUAAAAUAAAUGUAAAUUUGAAGGCUUCAAAAAUAUAAAUUCAAUUUUAAAUUUAUGACUUUCAUUUAUUUAUAUGAUAGUAAAUAUCUUAUUAUUGUAAUAAUGUAAUGUUAAUAAUAGAAUAUUUUUGUAUUAUCUCAUCUGAUUAUAUAAUAUUAAUACUUAUUAUGGUGUAUCAUUAAUAAUAGAUUCAUAUUCAUGUAGAGUAUAUAAUAUAUAAGUUUUAUUCAAAUUCAACUCUUAUUUAUUUAUAUAAUAUUAAGAUUUAUUUAAUAUAAUUUUAUAUUAAACAAGGGUUAAUACUUUGUAGUCAACCAAAAAUAAAACCUACAUUUCAAUAUCUCCAAGAAAAUUGAGGAUAUACCUGAACAUGAAUUUAUAAUAAAAAUAUAUUAAUAUAAAUUUAUUCAUUUUCAAUAAUAUAUGGAUAUAGAUUCAUUAUUAAUUUAUUAAUAUAGGAAGUUAUUGUAAACUCCUUUAUUUAAAUUUUUUUAUUAUAUUUUGUAUAAUAUUUUAAAAAUUAUAUUUUAUUACACGUAUGGUUUUUAACUAGUAAUAAUAAUAAUAAAAAAAGGGUGUAGCCUCGUAGGACUCAUUUCAUCGCUAGGGAUCGAGACAAGCCGCAUUAAAGGCGACUCAAGAAAGUGGUCAACGCCCUAUCCCACCGCCAAUCUCAAUAUUUGGCCCCAUAUCUCGCCAGCCGCGACCUCUCAUAAUCUCUUGUCAGUCAAUCUCAGUAUGGGAUUUUUCGAAAGUGCGUUGGAGUAUGUUGAGUUGUUUGGUUGACUGCUGAAGAAAUCGAGGAUCCUUGUUUGGUUGUCUUCAAAGUUUAGGAAAAAAAGAGAAAAUAUAUGCUAGAUCUUUGUUUGGUUUUCGAAAUUCUUUUGAUUACCGAUCUUCUAUCAUUUUUGUUUAAUGCAUUUAUAUAUGCUAGAUCAGUAGAAAUUAAAAUGGGUAUGACUCAAGAUUUCCUCAAGGCUGUUGAUCAAUAUAUCUUGGAGUCUGGAGGAACUUAAAAGUGUCUCUGCAAGUAUUCCAUUAGCAGGUGUGUUAAGGAGGUUGGUUUUUAUUUGUUUCACUCAAUUGUUGUACCUUCUGCACUUCAAUUUCUUGUAACAAAGUGUAAUUGUAACAUGAUUUGUCUCUUUUAUUAGGAUUUUUGUAAGUGUUUUUCAAUUUUGGUUGGAUGUUGGAAUGAGUGGUUAGCAUAUUUGGGUUAUGAGAAAAUGUGGGAAAGGAAAGUAGAGAGUGAAGUGCCAUGUAUUGAAUUUUCUAUUGUUUGGGAACAUAGAAAAUGCAACUUCUAAAUAUACCUUUUCCUUGGUUCUUUUUUAAAGAUUGGCACUUGCUAUUAGUUUAUAUUUCCUAUGUUAAGAGGAAAUUACCGAGAGGUAGUUGGGAGGCCCAGCUAAACAAUAUGCAGAAAAUAUGUUUUAUUAGUUCAAUCACAAUUCUAUUAUAUAAAACCAUAUUUGCAAUAAAACAUGUCAUAACCAUGUGGGUAUUCCGACGAAGAAUAAUCACCAACAAUGUAUAGGGAAAAAGAAAAAGGAAAAAAUAAUAAUAAUCCCAUUAGUCUAAAUAGAACAUUUGGAUGACAGAAAUUACAAGAACAAAAUAUGUUUUUUGCUUAAUCUUUUAUGGGCCAAACCUACUCUAAACUGGGGGUCGUUACGCCUCUUGUCCUUCUUCCGCCUCUUGUCCUCCUUUCCUAUCGAUGGUGUUUUGAUUCUUGAUCUUGAACAUGUCAAAAUUAUAAAAUGUUUUAUCCCAAUAGUAUGCUAUUUUUACUAGGAACAUGGUCCAUAUGACAAGGAGGAACCAUCCAAAAUAUGAUAUCAAGAUCAGGAUCAACAAAGUUGCAGCUACUGUUCCACUUAAGAACCGAACAUGACCCAAAAUAAGGAGAUAUCUUCCAUCAUCUUCAACUUUGACAGUUUUAUCAGGAUUAAGGAUUUCAUAAACCACAACUACCAUGAAAUAUAUAAAUGUUGCAAACAAGGAGAUUCGUAUAGCUAUAUUGUGUUGCACAAAUGGGGAAAUAUUAUCAUAUUGGUAUUUCGUAAGGACAGUUGAACCCAGAAUUGUAAGGAAAGAGAUGAAAGUUGAUGAAGCUCUGUCAUGAAAACAAUAAAUAAAUAAGUAGGAAAUUCAAUUAGAUUUAUGAAAAUCUUAGAAGUAAUAAUUAAAAAAAUUAGAUAAAUAUAAUCAAAUCAAUUAUUUUAUGUAAUUUUAGAGAGUAUUACACAGUAUCAUCUAAAUCAAUUAUAAUUUUUAAAUAUUAAAAGUACAUCUGAAAUAUGAAGAGUAACACUUUGUGUUUUAGUGGAUAAAACAACUAAUAUCCAACAUGUACAUUUGAAAAGUAACUGAUUGAAAUAAUAACUUAAUUUUCUUUUGAAAUUUAACCAAAAACUAGAGUUUGAAAAAUUGAGUGCUCACAAGUAGAAGAGCAUUGAGGGAAAAGAGUGAAAUGCCAAUGGUUGUAUUAUUUUUAUUGAAACCAUACAUGAGAGAAUUUUAAUGGGUUAAGACAUAUUUUCAAAUGAGUAUAUAUUAAAUGAAGGCACACGCACAGAUUAAAUUUAAUUAAUGAAGACUUAUGGUGAAAAUUAAUGAAACAUAAAGGUUGAAGGAAAAGAUUCAAAAUGAGUGUAUUGAAUUAAUCAAAUGGGUUGAGUAAGGUAAGAAUAUUGAAAACAAAAUGGAGGUGAAAAAAGGAACAAAAUGGGAAAAGGGCAUGAGGUAAAAGCCGUUGAGGCUUUUGAUGCAAGAAAAUGAUGGGGAAGAGAUCAGGAAUCAUGUGUAGGGCAUGAUUGGACAACCAUAAAAUAGCAGGCAGGACAUGAGAAAAGGCGAAAUACCUUGGUUGUGUGGCCAUGGCAGAUAUUGUAGAUGCUGUUGCUCUUACUUUGAAGCCUGCAGGGAGGGGGGGAGGGGAAUGUGGGAAUGUUAGCUCUACUUUGAAGCCUGAAUGGGACUGUUGCUCUUACUUUGAAGUCUGAAGGGAGGAGAGGGAGGGGAAAGUGGGAAUGUUUGCUCUACUUUGAAGUCUGAAUGAGGGAGGGGAAUGUAGUGUGCUGUUGGGAAGGGGAGGGAGCAUGUGCUUUAUAUUGCUACAUAUGGUAUAGAUUAACAUUGCUAACAGGUGGUAACUUUAUAUUUUCACUUGAUAUUGCUAACUUUAUAUUGCUACCAGGUGCUAACUUUAUAUUGCUAAGAGGUGCUAACUUUAUAUUGCUAACAGGUGCUAACUUUAUACUUCACUUGAUAUUGCUAACUUUAUAUUGCUAACAGGAAGAAUACUCCGCUUUGGUGCUAACUUUAUAUUGCUAACUUGAAGAAUACUCCGCUUUGGUGCUAACUUUAUAUUGCUAACUUGAAGAAUACUCCGCUUUUGCCACUUUAUAAUGCUAACUUUAUAUUGACAAUCAAUGAGACCAUCUUCGUCUCAUUGAUUGAGGGACCUUUGUCUUGUUAGUUUAGUCAAUGCUUGCAUAUUUAAAAAUCCCUAUAUACAAAAAUAAAAAUAAAACUCUUUGCUACAAUGUAAUAAUGUAAAUCAUUAAAUACUAACUAAUAAGUGAUUUAUUUUAUCAUCAAUCAUUUUAUUAUUCUUCAUUUACCUAAUAUAUCUUCUCUUAAUUGAUGUAAGUUGGGAUAUAAUUUUCUUUUAUUUUUAACGGUUUUAAUUUUAUUACUUAAUUUUAUAAAUAGAAAUUUGUUAUCAAAUUUUAUUAUCAAGUUUUGAAGUUAGAAAAUAAUAAUAAGAUAUAAUGUUUAACUAUUGCAACCACUUUACAAAUUAGUUUCUCCAUUUAUCAAUAUUUAUCACAAGUUUAUAAAUUUACCAAAAAUUCUUCAUCAAUUAUUAAUUUAAAAAAAAAUAUUAUGAUCAUUUCACUUAAAAUUAUACAACAUAAAUAAUCAUUUAUCAAUUUUUUUUUCUAUCGUAUGCUAAUGAGUGAAUAAUGGAUGGUAAAAGUAUAAAAUAAUAAUAAUAAUAAUAAUAAUAAUAAUGAAUACAUUUUGUUUUUAUUAUUUAUUUUUCACUACUAACAAGUAAUCACUUGAUACUUGUGGACCCGACAUUUUUAAUGAUGCGUUCCCACUCGAUCGGCGAGACUCACUUUUCGUUGAUUUGGUGAAAAAUAUGUUUUUUUUUUAGAAAAGACUUGGAGUCGCCACUUACUUUUAUUUAUUUUUGAAGGGGAAAACAAGUAAGAAUAAAACCCCUAAAUGUACUCCUGAUUUUUUUUUGGAAAAGCUGUCUGCGAAAAACCUAAGUCUGGGUCCGGGGAUCAGGUUACUUAUUAGGAAGGUACGGUAAAGACCGUAGCACCCCUCUAAGCCCCUAAAAAAAGGGUCUCUACUAAAUAAGAUAAAGUAGAUAUGACAGUUAACUAAGAGAUCAAUGGGUACCAAAAUGAUCACAGUUCAAAAAUAAUUCAUGAUAACGAAAUAAUAAAUAAAGUGAGAGUGAGAGUGUACCUUAUUAGCAGGUAAUAAAGCGCUGUCAUGAAAACAAGGUUAGUGUACAAUGACAAGUGUAAAAACAAUCCCAUAUAAAACCAAAUCAAAAUCAAACAAAAUUGAGAGCACAACUUGAAUUAUUUUCAAAAAAUGUUAUGAAUGUCGGGCCCCCACCAAAGCCCAAUUUAUUUUUGCUAAGAAUUAAUUCUCAUAAAUUCCAUCAUUUUGGAAUUAUGAAAACUUAUUCAUUUUAAAAAAAAAAAUUUGAAAAUAGGAAUUUUGAAAAUUAAAUGUGAAAUUUCGGAAGUGGAAUUUAAAAAAAAAAAAAAAAAGUUUGGAAAUCUCUUUGAGAAUGGCAUUUCAAAAUAAAUAAAUAAAAAAUAUUUAAAAAUAAAAUAAAAUAAAAAAUGAAUAAAUAAAUAAAUUUGAAUUUUGGAAAAUGGGAAUUUCGAGAACGGAAUUUUGAAAAAAUUAAAUUAAAAAAUUGGAAAUUUGGAAAGAUUAUUUUGAAAAUGGAAUUUCGAAAAAUUAAAUUUAAAAAUCGGAAAUUUGGAAAAUUGAAAUUUCGAGAAUGGAAUUUCGGAAAAUUAAACUUAAAAAAUGAAAUUUUGGAAAAUUAUUUCGAAAAUAGAAAUUUUUGUAAAAUUGGAAUUUUUGAAAAUCGGAACGUGAAGAUCGAAGUUUUGAAAAUCAUAUUUUUGAUGUAUGAGAAUAAAAAAAAUAAAUAAAUAAAAGAUGGUACGUAGUCGAUGGGACUCGCAUCCCGAAAGGUGGCCAUGCAUGACCAUAAUAAAAUGUUUAACGCUGAGAAUUAUCAACAAUAACCUAGUGAAAUAGUGAACUAAAAAAAAACAAUUUUUUUUUUUUGCCAUACAACUAAAAAAAAACUUAAUGAACUUUAAAAAAACCUAAAAUACUCUAAUCAACUAAAUGAAAUAAAUUAAAUUAAAACUAAUUUAGAAAAGGCAUUUUACCAUAUGACUAAUUAAUCUAGUAAAAAUAACUUUAGCUUUAAUCACCCAAUUAAACUAAAGAUUUAAAGACUCCAACUUUUCAUUCUCAUAAGAAAUUUAACUAAAACUAAAAUUUUAAUUGCUCUAACUUUUAUCUAUAUUAAAAUAAUAUCUAAAACUAAAAAUAAGCAAAAUUACUAUUGAAAACUAAAAUUUUUAAAUCUCCAGUGUUUAUUUACAUUAAAAUAAUAUUUAGAAAAAAAAAUACUAACUUUCCUAUUAACAUUAAAAAAAUAGCUAAAACCUAAGUGUUAAAAAAUCUAAUUUUAAUUAACCUUCUACACGAAUUUUACCUUAAAAAAAUCAACCAUUAUAUUUAUCUACGUGCAUUUUGAAGAAACCAUCACAUAUUGAUUGCACUAACUUAUUUGAUAUCUAAAAUCUAAAAUACUAACACACAUGGUCGCAUAUUAUAUUACUUAAUAUCUAAAACCUAAAACCUAAAAAUUAACUCAAAACUAUUAUUUUUAACACUCUAACUUUUAUUAAUAUUGAAUUAUCUAAAACAAAUAAUAAUAAUAAAAAAAGCAACUUUAAAAUUAUCACCUCCAAUCGUCCAAAGCAAAUCCAUACAAAAAAUUAACUUGAAAUUAGUAAUAAUAAUUAACAAUAAUAACUAAAAAAAAUUAUUCAAAAGUUAACAACUAAAAAAAUUAGCUUGAUUUAUAUUUAUAUUUUUAUCAAUCAUUAAUAUAUCUUAUAGAAAUUCAUUGGAUUUUUAUGUGAUUUUAUAACAAACAACAUGCCACUCAUACAUAUUCCUACAUACAUUCACUAGAAUUUUUUUAUUUAUUCAAUAAACUCAUACCACUAACAUAUUUUAUAGCUAGCCACAAUCACAUACGCAAUCAAAUUUCAGCCACUCAUACAAAUAGUCAUUAACUUUGUCAUGGUCGGCUUGCACAAAGCUCCGUUAGUGGCUGCAUAUUCAACCAUUAAAAAAUCAGCCUCAUUCUUCAUUAAGGCCAUACCUAAAUCAUGGAUAAUUUCAAUAGAAUUUCAGCUAUCAACUUUCUUCUAUGCAAACUUCAAAUUUAUUAAAAUUCAAGUAUAUUUCCAUUUUGAAUUAAAGCAAACUUUCAGCCAUAACUUUCAGCUCGUUUAUAAAUGGUCCUUCACCAAAUUUUCAGCAUAUUUCACUAUGGAUUUUCAGCCAUGAGAAAGUUUCUAUCCACAGCCACAAGUUCAGCCCUGAGAUUCAGCACACCUAUGCAGCCUUAUGUCCUUAUUUAUCCACCAAAACCUUACUCCGUUGAUUUUAGACCACAAAAUUCACACAUGCUGCCACUUCCUCCAUUAAAACUCACCAAUGCGGCAUGAAUUUCAUCCUUAAAAUCUCCAUAUCCAAUCCUUGAAAUUUGAGCAGAAUACAUUAUGUAAAACCUUAGCAUACCUCCACCCGAAUUUCACUUGUGAACUCACGCAUAUGCAGCCACAAACAUAGUGUUGCCUGACCAUCAGAAUUUCCUAUUAUUUAUAACUGAACCAGACUCCAAAUUCAUGUACCUGCAGUCACUGGGAUUUGUCUUUCCUUCAUUACAUUUUCACCAUAAAUUUUUGGCCAUUGAAUUCUUCAUCAACAACACCAAAUUUUAGCCACGUAGCCUCUUUAAUUCGGUCAAGAAUAUUACUUCAACAACCAUGGGAUCUUCACAUGCACACCUUCGAUUUUUUUAGUCACUUACAUUUACCUAUGCAACUAUACUAAAUUUCCAUCCACUUUAAACAUUAAAAUAAAAAUAAAAAAUAAAAAACACAGAUUGUUAUCAUGAUCACAACCAACCACAUUAAUUCAAUACAUUUAUAUAUCAAUGUGUUCCAAUUUCAUGGAAUUCCAACGUGCUUUCACUACAAUUUCAGCAACUAUCCACUUGAAUUUCCAGAAUAUUCAGCAAACAUGGCCAUUAUUUCAUGGUGAAAGAUAUUUCAAUUGCAACUACACAGAAUGGUGAAGAUUGAAUUAAACCAUUGAUAGACCCAAGUGAAGAUGGCAGCGAAGAGGGUGGCCUCAAUCACCUAAAUCAGUUUUCAAGUAUCAGAGUGAAGGGAGUUCCAGCCUCACGGGCCCAAAAAUGGGUUUAGAAGUAGAGAAGUUGCAUAAGGGGAUAGCAACAAUAACAAAGUAAAAAUAAACGGGCCAAAAGAUUCCCUUAAAUGCAGCCCCAUUCCAUGGGUUGUCAAUGGGCUUCCAAAGCAAGUGGGAGAUAUCAUAGGUUCAGAUAAGAAUCAAAGACAUGGUUCUCAGAUAUUUCACAGUAGGAUGAAACAAAGUCAGGUUGCUUUCUGUCAUAAUUAAAAAGAAUAAUAGAUAGGACAAUAGCAAGAAAACCCUGUCAUCUCAAAGAUCAACAGAAAUCAAACAUGCAAGAUAUCCACAUUCAGACCAUAGCAAUGAUACCCAUAGAUGGCAAGAGAAAAGGAAGAACUCCAUGAUAUUGAAGAAUAACGAUGAAUCUGUCACGAUCAUACCUGAAUAUGCUUCCCUCCUACGGUUGAUAAAAUGACCAGCCCUCUUUACCAGAAUUUCUCCACCUCCAUUUUUUAGAAGACCUCUUCGUUUUUUUUUUUUUUUCUUCUCCAAACCUCUACUCCAGACCUCUUCUUUUCCUGCAGACUUUCAAAAAAACCUCUUCUUUUUCUUGCAGACUUUCAGAAAAAAAAACCUUUUUUUUUUUUUAUCAGACUCCUCACAUCGUUCUUAAAAACCUCUCAUCUUUGCCGAUCUCUUCAUCUCCUUCUCAAAAUCCUCAACUUCUUUAAAAAACUCUAUUCCCCACUCUGUAGACACCCUUUCCAAAAAAAACUAUCCUCUUUCCCAGAUCAACUUACCUGUCUCUUCCCCAUAAAACCCCUUUUACAUCACCAACCCCUUUUUUUUUUUUUUUUUUUUUUUUGAAAGGUGGCAGCCCUCGUCUUGCAUCUUUUGGGAGUUACCAAACUCCCAUGCAAAAUAAAUAAAUAAGUAACUACAAAAAAAAAAAAAAAAAACCUUAUAAUAAUAACAAUAAUAAUAAUAAAAUCAUGCUAAUUGGAAACAAAAAUAGAAAAUAUGAAUACAUGCAUAUACGAGAAAAACCUAAGGAUUAAUUCAUGCAAUAAUGAUAAUAAUAAUAAAUAAAUAAUAAUAAUAAUAAGAUCACCAAUCACAUGCAAUUCUCUGAAAAUAAAUUAAAUAGAUAAAUAAAGAAAUAAAAUAAGAACAAUAAAUAAAUACCAAAUGCAUAUAAUUAAUAAUCUAAAUAUUAAACUAAAAUACAAUAAGAAAUUAAAUUUAAAAAAAUAAAAAGAAACAAACAACCAAAAUAUCAAAUUGACACAAUUAAAUAUCAAAAAUUCAUCUCAAGCAAUCUAAAUCAAAAUCAAGCCAAAUACUCACCUAAUUAAAAAAAAUCAAGCAAUCAAAAAAUUAAUCUUAGGGAAUUAAACCCAAAAAAGCAUCUAAGUGACCUAGGCCAAAAAGUGUCUAAGUGACCUAAGUGAUGUAGGGUGAUUAGAAAUGUGUCAAUUGACCUAGGAGUGUACCUAAUGGGCCAAGUGCAUCUAAAUGAGCCUAGAGUGCAAAAGUGGGCCUAAGAUGGUGUCCAAUGGGUCAUCAGAGAAUUAUCGUAAAAUAUCAAAUGGACACAUAAUAGAACAUGUGCUAGUAGGACAAAACAGAGGGUCUACAAUACCUUUGUAUGAGGUUGAGGUCAUGGUGAUAGUAGUGAACCAUUUUAUAUAAUGUUGGGGAACUUGGAAGUCUGUGAAUUUAGGACAAAACACAACUAUAUAUAUUAAAAAGAAAACGAAAAUCCUUGUUAGAGUCUAAUAAUGAAAUCAUCAACCCAUACUACCUAUUUAUUAAGUGAUUUAUUUAACCUUUAAUUAUUUUUCCUAUUUUUAUUUGUUUAGUAUAUCAUCCCUUAAUUAAUGUAAGUUGGAAUGCACUUUCUCUCCAUAACUUUAAUUUUGUUUUUUCAUUUUAGAAUAGAAAAAUAAAGACUUUUAAUUAAUAAAAGUUGGGAAAUACUUUUCUUUUCCUUUUUUUUAAGGAAUUUUAAAAAUUUUAUUUAAUUUUAANNNNNNNNNNNNNNNNNNNNNNNNNNNNNNNNNNNNNNNNNNNNNNNNNNNNNNNNNNNNNNNNNNNNNNNNNNNAAAACAACUUCUCACAUCGAAAUAUCCUUCAUCUAACCAUGGUGGAAAAAGUUAUUAACAGUGGCUCACACUUGAUUCUUAAUUGUCUAAUAAUAUUUUGAAAAACAACCCUCCAAUAGUUUUCUAUAGUAGGUUUUAAAAUCGCUUUUCAAUUAUUUUUAGGAAUAAAAUUAUUUGAGAACUUAGAAUAUAAAAACAUUUUUCCCCAUCUUGUCCCUUAUUAAUUUAUAUGUAUUACAAAAGUUUUUAAAGAAUAUUUUUCAUAUUUUUAAUUGUUGUGCAUAACAUUUUACAAAAAAUAACUAAAAACAAUUAAAAUUUAUUCUAAAAAAUAAUUUGUUUUCAAAACAAUUUAAAAUAUAAAUAUUUUCUAUAAAAUGUUAAUCAAAUUUGUUUUGGACUUAAAAAUUUAUUUUCUAUUUUAAAGACUAAAAAACUCAAUAAUGGUUUUCAUAUAUAUAUAUAUAUAUAACAUGUAUCAUAAAUUUAUUCUUUCCAUAUUUUUUAUAUUACUUAUUUUAUAAAAUAAAAAAUUUUAGUUCAAUAAAUCAUUUUGCAUAAUUCUCUUAUUAUUUAUUUUGUGUAUUUUUAUAAUUAAAUUUCAUCAUUAUUUUUGUGUAUAUUGAUUUUCACUAUGACUUGUACAAAUUCAUUUGCUUGAUUAUUUUUCUUGAUAUCCAUAAUUAAUUAAUUGAUUGUCAUAAUUUUCUUAAUUUGUUUAAUAGAGGCUUUAUGUAUACGAGCUUAGAGGGGUACUAAACCUCACCACUGUACCUUCCCAAUAGGUAACUUGACUCUCGAACCGAGACUCGAUUUUUCACAAACCUAUUUUUCCUUCAGGAGUUACACUUAGAGUUUUUCUUUCUUAUUUUAUUUUUCCCUUAAAAAAAUAAAACAAAAAUAAGUGGUGACUCUAAGUUUUUUUUUUUAAAAAAAAAAAAAAAAAUCAAGUUUUCACAAAAUAAAUAUAAAAAACGAGUUUUGUCAUCGAAUGAGAACGCAUCGAGCGGAAACGCAUCAAGCGAAAUACGGGGUCCAUAUCAUGUCUCAUUAUCCGUCUUGGCCAUGGAAAAUAAUCAACUCUUCCACCAACAAAAUAAGAGAUUCAAAUUGAUGAAUAUAAUUCAUAAUGUAUAUGGAAAUUAUAGAUUCUAUGGAUUUAACAUCUGAUAAGUCUACUUGUUUAGAUUUGGGUCCUUAGCCAGCUAUCCCACUUUUGGAUUUACUUGUGCUUAGUUUGUAACUGAUAUUUUGUUUUACUGGUUUUCAUUUUUAAGCUUUAAAUAUGUUUUUUUUCUUUUUUUCUUUUCUUUUUUUUAUAAAAAAAGAGAAUCAAAUCUUAUGAAUCAUAACUUGAUUAUGUUGUUAUUCUAACUUUAAGGUUAUAUUUAAUUCUCGAAAAGUAUUAAAGAAAAAAAAUGUUAAAAAAAUGGUUUUCUAUUGUCUUAUUAAAAAUGUAUAAAAAAAUGGUUUUCUAUUAACACAGGCUCACACUUGAUUCUUAAUUGUCUAAUAAUAUUUUGAAAAACAACUCUCCAAUAGUUUUUCUAUAGUAGGUUUUAAAAAUGCUUUUCAAUUAUUUUUAGGAAUAAAAUUAUUUGAGAACUUAGAAUAUAAAAACAUUUUUUCUCAUCUUAUCCCUUAUUAAUUUAUGUGUUACAAAAGUUUUUAAAGAAUAUUUUUCAUAUUUUUAAUUGUUGUUCAUAACAUUUUACAAAAAAUAACUAAAAACAGUUAAAAUUUAUUCUAAAAAAUAAAAAAUAUAUAUAUUUUCUAUAAAAUGUUCAUCAAAUUUGUUUUGGACUUAAAAAUUUAUUUUCUAUUUUAAAGAAUAAAAAACGCAAUAAUGGUUUUCAUCUAUAUAUAUAUAUAUAUAUAUAUCACAUGUAUCAUAGUUUUAUUCUUUCCAUAUUUUUUAUAUUACUUAUUUUAUAAAAUAAAAAAUUUUAGUUAAAAAAUUAAAUUUUAAAUUUUAAAACUAAAAAAUUUAACAUAAUAUAAAAUAAUAUUAUAAAAUUUAACAAAUUUUUUUUAUAAAAUAAUAUUAUUAUAUGAAUUAUUCAAUAUAUAAAAAUUAUUUUUAUAUAUUAUAUAAUAUAAUAUAACAUAUCUCAAAGAAUACUAUGUUCGUUAAAUAUAAUAUUUUAUUAAAAAUGAUAUGGUAAAACAUACAUAUCUUAUCCCAUCAACUAAAUAUGAUAUUUAGGUUUGACAAUACAUGAUUCAUGCACCAUGGGAUUAUGAGUAUGAUGACAUUGUGGAAGGUUAAACUUUUUUAAUAUUACUUGUUUCUAAAUUCCCUUAAUAGGUUAUGUUUCUUAAAAAAAUUGUAUUUUGAAAGGCUCACACAUGACUCAUAAUCCCUAUUGGCUGAUGUCAUGGAAAAUGACUCUCCCACCAGGAUAAGAAAUUUAAAUUAUUGAAUAUAAUUUCAUAAUGCAUAGGGAGAUUAUAAAUUAUAUGGAUUCAACAAUUGAUAAACUUACUUGUUUAUAUUAUUGUCCCUAGCCAACUAUCCCACUUUUGGAUUUAUUUUUGGUGCGCUUAGUUUGUAACUCAUCUUUUGUUUUGCUUAUUUUCAAAUUUUUAAGGUUUUGAUAGAUUGAAAAUAUAAAAAAAAAAUCUUUCGAGCCAUAACUUGAUUAUUUUGUUAUUCUUAUUUUUAAUCAUAUUUUCAAUGAGAAAUUGGGUCUUUUUUGGUAGAAUUGUAGGAAGUGGAUUGAGCAGAAAAAUUUAUUUGGGCCAAUUUGUAUUUCACCAGAUGACCCAGGCCAUUCUUAGCUUGGCCUAGUGGGCCUUAGGAAUAGCUCAAACGGCUGAAAAUUUAACUCCUAGACUAGGCCUGGCCUAAGUGUGAAAUUCACGUCAAAAUGAAUUCUUCUUUCCUAAAACUAAUUAUUUUAGAAAUAAUUUAAUAUCUUAAAAAGAUAUUUUAUAUUUUGUUCCCUAGAAACUUUUAUGUAAUGCACAUAAACUUUAAUUGAAUUUGAUUACUAAAAUCCUAAACAGUUGUAAUCCUAAUAAAUUUGAUUAAAUUGAACUCCAGCUACCUUAUAUUACAUAGAUUUUAAAACUAAAAAAUAAUUAAUUAAUUAACCAAAAAUAUACAUAUGUUCUAAAUCAUGUCUUCUACUCACUUUCCCGGGUCAUAAGUUGUGCAUUUUUUUUUCCAUUAUUGACCCAAUUUUUUUUUAUUAGUAUAAUGUUUGUCUCUUAAAACAAUUGAAAUUUGAAAAAAACUGAAAUAUGAUUAAACAAUAAAAAGACAAAUAAGUAAACUUAGUAAGUGAUAAAUUCUGGAAAUGAUAUCAUUAUUUGGCAUAACAUAAUAACAAAUAAUAUAUUCAUUUGAAUUUUUAACCCCACAUUCAUAUUUUAAGUAAAGACAAAAAAAAAAAAAAAAAACUUUAAAGCAAGAAAAAAGAUUGUUUUUCUUAUAACUUUUAUAGUUUCAUCUCACAUCACUUAUUCACAUGCUUGUAUUUUUUUUUUUUUCAAUCUUAUUCAUACAAUUUGAAAAUCCACUUGUAAGGAAAAAUACAUAAGCUUGAAAUGCAAUUGAGGAAUUGAGUCCUAAUCACAUUUAAUGACAUGGGUAUUAAAUUAACAAGCUAUUAAUGCUAAACAAAUGCUUUUGUCAUUAUAAUUUUUUAUAAUAAGGUUUUGCUAUCAUUUCAAGCUUCAAAGCUAUAAAUCAAGGCCUUGAAAAAACCACCAGACAAGGUUUGUGCUAUGAAAACAUUUCUAGAAAGCAAGGAGUGCAAAAAUAAUUUGACAUUAAUCUAGGGUAUUUUGUGCCGGAGAGAUUCCCUUUCUUCUAUUUGCUGUUUUUGCUUCCUCAUUUUCACAGGGAGGAAUUUGACACCUCAGUCCUUUUUUUUUUUUUUUUUUUUUAACAAAAAAUAUUCUGAGGAAGAUGGUGACUUGAAAACUAUUGAGAAAAAUAUCCCCACAUAGUGGCAAAGAAAAUAAUAAUGAUAAUAAUAAAGGCAGCUCGGUUGGCCUCAUUUCGAAGCUUAGGGACCCGAGAGAAGCUGAACUAAAAGAGACUCAAGAGCGUGUUCAACACCCUGUCCUAGUGCCAAUCUCGAUCUUUCUCUCCAGAUCUCGCCGGCGGCGAUCUCUCAUAAUCUUAAGUCAGUCGAUCUCAUUUUUUGUAGGGUUUAGAAAUUGGGCAACAGUAUGUUGAGUUUUUUGGUUGUGAUUGCUGAAGAAAUUGGGGAUCUUUAUUUGAUUGUCGUCAAAGUUUAUAAAAGAAAGAGAAAACAAAUUUCUUUGGAAUAUUGCAAAGGUUUUUCAGGAGUUUUUAGGCUGAUGAUGCGAUUUUUAGUGGCUUCAAAAUUUCUGCAGCUUGGUUGUUAAUUUGGAGACACAUUUGUUGUGUUGUCGUUGCAGUGGAAUGUUCUGAGCUUACAGGGGUUUGUGUUCAUGUGCAAUCUGUCUUACCUUCAUUUUAUUUAGUAUAAAGUUUAAAUCUUUGAGACAGAUAGUUUCUAUUCGGGGGAGAGAAGAGUGGUUGUUGAGUAUAAAGUUUAAUUUUUGUAUGUUAAUAAUAACAACAUUUGAAUUAAUUACUUGUAUGAGAGGAGAAAGAUGCAAGUGAUAAAUAGAGAUUCCAAAUAUCUAAUGGGAAGUUUUUGAGUUGAUGAUGAGCUAAGCUGAUUUCUUAAAAUCUUUCUGCUCACUGAGCUUCGUUUAUUUACUGAUCUUCUGUUUUUUUUUUUAAUGGAUUUAUAUACGCUAGAUCAGUAGAACUUAAAAUGGGUAUUACACAAGAUUUCCUCAAGGCUGUCGAUCCGUAUCUCUUGGAGUUUUCAGGAGGUUGGUUUUUAUUUGUUUCAUUUAAUUGGAGUACAUUCAGCACUUCAAUUUGUUGUAAGAAAGCGUCUCUUUUAUUAGGAUUGUUGCAAGCGUUUUUCAAUUUUGGUUGGAUCUUGAGAUGAGAGGUUUACAUAUUUUUGAUAUAAGAAAAUGCGGGGAAGAAUAGUAGAUAGCAAAAUGCUAUAUGUGGGAUUUUCUAUUGUUUGGGAACAUAGAAAAUGCAACUCCUAAAAAAACCUUUCCCUGGGUUCUGUUUUGUGUAAGAAUGGGAAAGAUUAGCAGUUGAUGUUAGUUUAUACUUCCCAUGUUCAAGGGAUAUUAUGGAGAGGUAGGUGGGAGGCCUAGCUAAACAAUAUAUAAAACCAUGUUGGCAAUGAAACAUGUCGGAAUUUGAUCUUUAAAUAUGGAUAGCACCAUAAGUGGAAAUAACUGAGUACAAAAAACAUUUGAGGGUAACACUUUAAAUAUAGAAGCAAAUUAUUUCUAAGAUAGUACAAAAGACAAAUUGCUUAAUCUUCUUUGGUAAUGGCCUACAGGGUAACUGCUCCUCUUGUCCUCUGUGCCUCCAUCGCUGGUGUUGUUUUGAGUCCUGAAGAUAUCAAAGUGAUAAAAUGGUUUAUUCAAGUAGCAUAUAUGUAAAUAUAAGAUUGGAUAGAUCAUUUGAAAAUAGAACACUUGGAUGACAGAUAUUACAAGAACAAAAUAUGUUUUUUUGCUUAAUCUUUUAUGGGCCAAACCUACUCUAAACUGGUGGUUGUUGCGCCUCUUGUCCUCCUUCGCUAUUGGUGGUGUUUUGAUUCUUGAUCUUGAACAUAUCGAAGUUAUAAAAUGGUUUAUCCCAAUAACAUGCUAUUUUCACUAAGAACAUAGUCCAUAUGACAAGGAGGAACCAUCCAAAAUAUGAGAUCAAGAUCAGGAUCAACAAAGUUGCAGCUAUUGUUCCACUUAAGAACCGAACAUGACCCAAAAUAAGGAGAUAUCUUCCAUCAUCUUCAACUUUGAUAGUUCCAUCAAGAUUAAGGAUUUCAUAAACCACAACCACCAUGAAAUAUAUAAAUGUUGCAAACAAGGAGAUUCGCAUAGCUAUAUUGUGUUCCCCAAAUGGGGAAACAUUAUCAUAUUGGUAUUUCGCAAGGACAACUGAACCCAGGAUCGUAAGGAAAGAGAUGAAAGCUGAUGAAACUCUGUCAUGAAAACAAUAAAUAAAUAAGUAGGAAAUUCAAUUAGAUUUGUGAAAAUAAGAUAGUAGCAGUACUAAUUAAAAAAAUUAGAUAAAUGAGAUUAAAUCAAUCAUUUUAUCUAAUUUUAGAGAAUAUUACACAGUAUUAUUUAAAUCAAUUAUAAUUUUAAAAUAUUAAAAGUACAUCUAAAAUAUGAAGAACAACACUUUCUGUUUUAGUGGAUAAAACAUGUAAUAUCCAACAUGUAUAUUUGAAAAACAAAUAAUUGAGAUAAAAAUUUAACCUCAAACUAGAGUUUGAAAAAUUAAGUGCUCACAAGUAGAAGAGCAUUGUGAGAAAAGAGUGAAAUGUCAAUGGUGGUAUUAUUUUUAUUGAAACCCAUACAUGAGAGAAUUUUAAUGGGUUAAGGUAUAUUUUUAAAUAAGUAUAUAUUAAAUGAAGGCACAAGCAUUGGUUAAAUUUAAUUAAUGAAAAUUAGUGAAACAUAAAAGUUGAAGGAAAUGAUUAUUGAAUUAAACAAAUGGGUUGAGUAAGGUAAGAGAAUAUUGAAAACAGAAUGGAGAUGGAUACAGUAACAAAAUGGAAAAAGGGCAUGAGGCAAAAGCCCAGGAAUCAUGUGUAUGGCAUGAUUGGGCAACCAUAAAAUAGCAAGACAUGAGAAAAGGCGGCAUACCGUGGUUGUGUGGCCAUGGCAGAUAUUGUAGAUGCUGUUGCUCUUGAUUAGAAGCCUGAAGGGAGGGGAGGAGGGGAAUGAAUGUGGGAUAUUGUAGAUGUUUUCCUUGCUUGCUAUUUAUAGAAAAUUUGGUGCUAAAGCCUGGAGCAGAAGCCUGGGCUUGACUUUUUAUCUUAGAAGAGCCUAUGGGAACCCCUCUCUCUAUCAAGGGAACCCCUCUCUCUAUCAAGCGAGAGGUGGUGCUAAAGCCUGGAGCAGCGAUCUCUCUAUCAAGGGAACCCCUCUCUCUAUCAAGCGAUCUCUCUAUCAAGGGAACCCCUCUCUCUAUCAAGCGAGAGGUGGUGCUAAAGCCUGGAGCAGCGAUCUCUCUAUCAAGGGAACCCCUCUCUCUAUCAAGCGAUCUCUCUAUCAAGGGAACCCCUCUCUCUAUCAAGCGAGAGGUGGUGCUAAAGCCUGGAGCAUCAAGCCCUCUCUCUAUCAAGGGAACCCCUCUCUCUAUCAAGCGAGAGGUGGUGCUUUCUAAUGAUUUGGGGUGCCUUGACCAAGUGUUAAAUGAAUUGUUACGUGGCCAAAUUAAUUAAGAAGGAAGGAAGAAAGAGAGGUGGUGCUAAAGCCUGGAGCAUCAAGCCCUCUCUCUAUCAAGGGAACCCCUCUCUCUAUCAAGCGAGAGGUGGCGCUAAAGCCUGGAGCAGAAGCCUGGGCUUGACUUUUUAUCUGAGAAGAGCCUAUGGGAACCCCUCUCCUAUCAAGCGAGAGGUGGGUCCCAGACUCACCCCUCUCUCGAAAGUAGAGGGCUUCUCGACUUGGGUGCGCUUGGUUCCUUAGAAUCUGAUUGGAUGACAACUUGAUUAGGGCUUCUCUUUGACUAAGUGAAGGCGUCGACGUGGGUCCCAGACUCACCCCUCUCUCGGGAGUAGAGGGUUGGAUGACAACUUGCUUAUUGGUUGUGAGGUGCUUUUUAUCUUAGAAGUAGAAGGCGCUUGGUUCCUUAGAAUCUGAUUGGAUGACAACUUGCUUAUUGGUUGUGCUUGCUCUUUUCAAGGGUAUCAAAGUUCUAAUAAAUAUAUAUAAUAUUUUUAAUUUUGAAGCUAUGUGGGAUAAAUAAUUUUCAUUUCUUUUAAAUAAUUUUCAUUUCUUUUAAAACUGCAGACAACACAAUAUCAAAGACAAAAAAAAAAAACUAACUCAAAAAUAAAAAAAUAUAUAUUACAAUUUAAAAACCGUAUACAUAAAAAUAAAAAUACAAUGCUAUAUAAUAAUGUAAAUCAUUAAAUACUAACUAAUAAGUGGUUUAUUUUAUCAUUAAUUAUUUUUUUAUUCUUCAUUUGCUUAAUAUAUCUUCUCUUAAUUGAUGUAAGUUGGGAUAUACUUCUUUUUUAUUUUUAAUGUUUUAAUUUUAUCCUUUAAUUUUAUAAAUAAAAAAUAAAGAUAUGAUGAAAUUUACAAAUAUAUAUAUAAAGAUGUCCAAGAAAAGAUUUUAUCGGUAAAAAGUUUUAAAUUGAUAGAAAUUUGUUAUCAAAUUUUAUUAUUAGGUUUUGAAAGUGGAAAAUCAUAAUAAGAUAUAAUGUUUAACUAAUUUUUCAUUUAUUAAUAUUUAUUACAAAUUUCUAAAUUUAUCAAAAAUUCUUCACCAAUUAUCAAUUUUUUCUUUAAAUAUUUUGAUUAUUUCACUUAAAAUUAUACAAUAUAAAAAUAUACUAAGAUCAGUACUAGACUUGUCUAAUAAUAUUUUGAAUAACAACUCUCAAAUAGUUUUUCUACAGUAGAUUUUAAAAAUAUUUUUCAAUUAUUUUUAGGAAUAAAAUUAUUUGACAACUCAAAAUAUCAAAAUAAUUUUCUCAUCUUAUCUUUUAUUUAUUAACAUGUGAUACAAAAGUUUUUAAAAAUAUUUUUCAUAUUUUUAAUUGUUGUUCAUAACAUUUUACAAAAAAGAACUAAAAACACCUAAAAUUUAUACUAAAAAAUAACUUGUUUUCAAAAAACUAUUUUCUGUAAAUGUUUAUCAAAUUUGUUUUGGACUUAAAAAUCUAUUUUCUAUUUUAAGAAUAAAAAACUCAAUAAUGGUUUAUAUAUAUAUACCAUAAAUUUAUUCUUUUCAUAUUUUUUUUUUAUAUUACUUAUUUUAUAAAAUAAAAAAUUUUAGUUAAAAAAAUUAAAUUUAAAAUUUAAAACUAAAAAAAAAAUUCUAUAAAAUAAUAUUAUUAUAUGUAUUAUUCAAUAUAAAAAAAUUAUUUUGAUAUAUAAUAUAACAUAUCUCAAAAGAUAUUUCAUAUAUAAAACUUUUGGGUUUGAUAACAUAUUAUUUAUAGACCAUGAGAUUACGAGGAUGAUGACAUUGUGGAAGGUUAAACUUUUUUAAUAUUACAUAUUUCCAAAUUCUCUUAAGAGAUUAUGUUUCUUAAAAUUUUUAUCUUUUGAAAGGCUCCUACGUGUCUCAUAAUCCCUCUUGGUUGAUGCCAUAGAAAAGGAUCAACUUUUCCAUAAGAAAUUCAAAUUAUUGAAUAUAAUUCAUAAUGCAUAGGGAAAUUACAAAUCCUAUGGAUUCAACAAAUUGAUAAGCCUACUUGUUUAGAUUAUUGUCCCUAGUUAGCUAUCCCCUUUUGGAUUUACUUUCCAUGCACUUAGUUUGUAACUCAUCUUAUGUUUUACUUAUUUUCAAUUUUUUAACGUUAACAUAGAAUUUCUUUUAAAAAAAAAUAAAAAUCUUUUGAACCAUAACUUGAUUUUGUUGUUAUUUUUAUUUUUAAUCAUUUUUUAAUGAGAAAUUAGGUCUUUUUUGACAGAAUUGUAGGAAGUAGUUAGAGUCGGAAAAUUUAUUUGGGCUAGUUUGUGUUUCACUAUAGUGCCUUUGGGAGAUGCAGUUAAGUGGACAUAUAAUACAAAAGCAAUGUAAACGGACCAUGUUGGUUGGUGCCAUUCUUAGCUUAGCCUAGUAGGCCUUCAGAAUAGCUCCAACGGUUGAAAAUUUAGCUCCUAAACUGGGCUGGCCUUAGUGUGAAAUCCCAAACUAAUUAUUUUAGAAAUAAUUUAAUAUCUUAAAAAAUUAUUUUAUAUUUUCUUCCCUAGUGAACUUUACGUAAUGCACAUAAACUUUGAUUGAAUUUGAUUAUUAAAAUCGUGAACAAUUGUAAUCCUAAUAAAUUUAAUUAAACUGAACUCCAGCUCUUGAAAAUAGUUAACACAUAAAAAAAUAAAUAAAUUAUAUUAUGUAAUCUAAAUCAUGAGGUCUAUUCACUUUCCCUAGGUCAUAAGUUCUGCAUUUUUUUCCCAUCUAAUUUGUAUUAUUUAUAGACACAAUUUUUUUAUUAAAAAAAUUAUUGUUAGUAUUAUGUUUGUCUUUUACAAAAAUUGAAAUUUGAAAAUAGGUGAAAUAUAAUUAAAUAAUAAAAAGAAAAAUAAGUGAAACCCAAUAUAUGUAUGGAAAUGAUACAUUUACUUGAUAAUUAUUUGAAAAAAAUAAAAAUAAAAUUGACUUAUGUUAUCAUAAUAACAAAUAAUAUAUUCAUUUGAAGUUUGAAUCCAACAAUCAUAUUCUAAGUGAGCGUGCUAUUAAUUUAGUCUAUCAUAUGAUGUUCUCAUCUUCAUUACAAGUAUACUAUUUGCAUUUGCAGAGAAGUAAAAAGCAUAUUCUAACUAAAAUAUUUAUGCAAGUUAAUUUUGUAACAUACACAUUCUUCCAUCUCUUAUCAUUCAUAAGAACUUAAAAUGAAAAAUGAAAGAACUCUAAUAGAUAUGAGUUUGAUUCAAUCUUAUUCAUACAACUUGAAAACCAACAUUGCAAGUUUAAAAGUGACAAACAAAUAUAACAGUCAUGGUACAUUUAGCAUCAUACCUACUAAUGAAAGAGGAGUCUAAACUAGAAGCUCAUGUGGUCCCGGUGUGGGAUUAUUACCACUCAUGAGUAAAUAUAACAUUCUGGAAUAUAACAUACACAUUGCAAGUCUAAGAACUUCAGAAAAAUAAAAUAUAACAUACACAUUCUUGAAUCUCUUAUCAUUCCUAGGUACACAUUAUGUUGUUAAACCUUACCUGGGAUUCUGCGGCUCCAUAGUGGGUUCCUAUAAGUAAUCUAAUAAUAUAAACUAUUAAAUACUAACCUAUAAGUAAAUUAUUUUAUUAUUAAUCUUUUUUUAUUCUUUAUUUACUUAAUAUAUCUUCUCUUAAUUAAGUAGGGAUUUAUUUCUUUUUUAUUUUUAACAGUUUUAAUUUUAUACUUUAAUCUUAUAAAUAGAAAAUAAAUAUCAUGUUGAUAAUAAAAUUCACAAUAUAUAUAAAGAUUUCUAAAAAAAGAGAGUAUUGAAUUGAACAAAUGGGUUAAGUAAGUUUGAAUAUUAUUAAAAACAGAACGGAGAUGAAAAGAAGAACAAAAUGGAAAAAGAGGAAAAUAUCAGCGAGUACCUCGGAAAGCUUGUCUCCUUGAGCUUGAAAGGAGCCGGCGAGUUGUUGGGUGGAUGGGCCGUCGGAAGAAUCUAGGUUGCUGCUCCUCUUCAUCUUCUAAUGGACGAUUUGAUAUUAGCGGCUAGUGACCGCUACUUGUCAUUGCCUCUGCCUCUUCCACGUUAUUUUCAUCCUCAUAGGCUUUGUAGUUCAUAUAUGGGCUGACCCUCAGGUUAACUGGACUGGAGGCCCAACGUCCAGCCCAUCUUCACAUUAAUUGGGCCCAACAAAUAUGCUGAACCCAAAUCAUGUCCUCCAUUUACAUCUUAAUAUCCUUAUCACUUGUCAAUACAAUAAUCCGCUGCUGAAUAGUCCGCGACUACACACGAUAAUCAUCGCAAAGAUUUCUAGAAGGAGAGUUUGCCCGGUUGCUCACCACCGUGGAGCAACGUCGUCCUCACGUGACAUUUAGACGCAUCGGCUACGUGUCAUCAUCCUAGGGCCUCAGAAUCUGGCGCUGAAUUCUUAGAGAUUGUAUUGUACAGGGCGCGUGAAAUGAGAUGGGUUCCACCCACGUGGAAUGGCUUAAUGCCCAAGUUAUAAUCUGAUUGGCUCUCCUCAUUAUUUUAAGGCUCAACCUAUUAAGACUAAGUGAGAGUGAGAUGAAGGCUAGUGGAAAGUGGUCCCAACCCUGUGUGGAGCAGGCUCCAUUCAGAAGCAAGUCUCGAAGACCACAAGAAUAUAUGAAGGGUAUACUAUAUGGGCUUGUUGGACGAGUUGUUAAUUAUUUAAUUAAUUGGUUACACUUAAUGUUAAUUAAUGAUUAGUGAUUAAUUACGGACUUUGGGUUAUGUAAGAUACUAAGAUUACUGCUAUAUAAUAUAAUAUAAUGCUAAUGCCUGCAACUGUCAAGAGUCAACAGUCAACUGCUAUGUAAUAUAAUAUAAUAGCAGUAAUUGAAAUAAGGCCUGCAGGCUGUAGGUUGUAGGGGAGAUCGAAUUCAUAUUUAAUUCAAUAAUCAAAGAAAAAAAAAAAAAAGACACAGACGUGGAAGAAAAGAUUUCACGGUUUUAAAUUUUUUUUGAUAGAUAGAAAUUUGUUAUCAAAUUUUAUUAUUAAGUUUUAAAAUUGAAAAUCAAUAAUAAGAUAUAAUUUUUGUCACCAAAAUCACUCUAAAAACGAUUUCUCCUAUCAUAUUAUUAUUUACCUUGGUAUUUAUGAACUUGUAAAUUUACUAAAACUUCCUCACCUAUUAUUAAUUUUUUUUGUUUAAACAUUUUAUUUUAUUUUAUUUAAAAGCAUGCAACAUAGCUAAUCUUUUAUCAUAUUUUCUAUCAUUUCCUAAUAAGUGAAUAAUUGAUGAUAAAAAUAAUAAAAGGAAUAAUAGUAAUAAAUUGUUAUAAUAAAAAUAAUAAAAUUUCUAAUUUUAUUAUAUUAUUGAUGAAAGAUAUUUAGAAGUUAUUUUAUGAUUUAAAUAUGUAUAAUUAUUAUCAAAUCAAAUCAUUUGGAGGUCAAAUUUUUUUAGAGAUAUUACAAGGUUUGAUUUUGAAAAUGAUUAGAAUUUAUAUUUCAAUCAAAUUUGUAGGUGUUAUGUUUUAUACUUUUUUUUAUUUAAAAGAAAAGAAGUAAAAUGCAAAAUAAUAAUAAAUUUAUUUUAUUUUUAUUUCUUUAUUACUUGUGUGAAUGAACGUGCCGCUUCAAAGUUUAGGAAAGAAAGCGAAAAUAAAUUUAUUUGGAAUAUUGCAAUGGUUUGUAAGGAGUUUUUAGGCUGAUGAUGUGCUUUUUAGAAAAAAAAUGACACAAAGAUGUUGAGGAAAAGAUUUCACAGUUUAAAAUUGUUUUGAUAGAUAGAAAUUUGUUAUCAAAUUUUAUUAUUAAGUUUUAAAGUUGAAAAUCAAUAAUAAGAUAUGAUUUUUAUUAUCAAAAUCACUCCAAACUUUCCUCAAUGUUAUUAUGAACUUGUAAAUUUACUAAAACUUCCUCAUCUAUUAUUAUUAUUUUUUUGUUUAAAUAUUUUUUUUUUUAUUUAAAAGUAUGCAACAUCAUAAUCUUUUAUCAUUUUUUCUAUCAUUUGCUAAUAAGUGAAUAAUUGAUGGUAAAAAUAAUAACAAGAAUAAUAGUAAUGGAUUGUUAUAAUAAAAAUAAUAAUAUUUCUAAUUUUAUCAUAUUAUUAAUGAAGGAUAUUUAAAAGUUAUCUCAUUUUUUAAAUAUUUAUAAUUUCAUCUUAUUUAUAAAAAAAAUAAAUAGAAUAACAAAUUAUUUAAUUAAGAAAGAUAUUUGUAAUAGGAGUUAAAUCAUUUGGAGGCCAAAUUUUUUUAGAGAUGUUACAAAGUUUAGUUUAAAAAAUGAUUGUAACUUAUUUUUCAAUUAAAUUUAAAAGUAUUUUGUUUCAUGGUCUUUUUCCAUUAAAAAAAAGGUAAAACAUAAAAUAAUAAUAAAUAAAUUUUAAGUACUUUAAUUUUGUUAUUUAAUUUAAAAUAAUAAAGAUAGAUAGAUAUUAUGUAACAUAGAUAAUCUUUUAUCAUCUUUUUUAUCUUACAUUAAUAGGUGAAUAGAGUCAAAAUACAGAAUAAUAACAAUGAAUGCAUUUUGUUUUUAUUAUUAUUUUUUUUCUAUCACUUAUAAGCAUUUGGUACCUUUGCAUAAGGUACCAGUGAAGGUGACAGUAGUGCACCAAUUAGCAUUUUCUUUUUAUUUUUAAAUCAUUGGAGGACAACAUAAGGAUAUGUUUUAAUAAAACUUAAAAUUAAAUAUUAAAAUUUUAGUAUUCAAUUAUGUGAUAAAUAAAAAAAAUUAAUUUCUAGACACUAUUUAUUUUCCAAAUUUGUUCUUUAUUUAAUCAUCAUAGUUUUGAAUUAGAAUACCUCUUAAAAAAUAUUGUAUUAUAAACUUGUGUAUACCUUAUUUAAAGUAAUAUAUUAAAUAUUAUAUUAUGCCGAUAUAUUGUAAGUUAGAUCCGUAUAAGGUUCAUUGUAUAAAUGUUUUUUUUUUAAAUUUAAAAAAUGCCUCCUAUAAAAGUAAUUGUUUAAAUUUUCAUUGUUUUAGAAGAUAUUAAAAUUAAAAUUUUUUUAUAUAAAUAUUUAAAAAUAGCCAAUGUUGCAAAUCCAAUUAUUGGUUUCCAUAAUUGAUAUGAUACAUGAAAAUACAUCGCUUUGUCCUUUUUCUUUUUCUUUUCUUUCAAUUUUUAACUUUGUUAUAAUUAUAAACAAAGCCAAAAAAAAAAACCAUAGUUUCAAAAAUUAGUUAAAAUUACCUAAAUUUUGUACAAUUAAAAUGAAAAAUAAGUUUAUUAUAAAUUAGUAAAAUUAUCAUCCCAAAAAACCAAUAUGGCUGAAAUAGAUUUUAUUUUUAUAACCAAAAUAAAAAAUUUACCAUACACUCACUAUUUUCAUCUUACAAUUCAUAAAAUUUUCAUGAAAUUUAACUUCUAUAAAUUUCUUUAGGUUCCUCCUAAAAAUGAUAAAAUUUAGAUUAGAAAUGAAUUUCUUAUAAAUUUUUAAAAUUCAACUUCUUAUUCUAUAAUAAAACCAAAACAAACUAUCAAUACUUAAUUCCAAUGAAAAUUUUUAAUUAGAACUUCAAAACACGAUUCACACUAGAAAAAAAUUCCAUUGUAAUUAACUAUUCCAAUUAAUUUUGAAAAAUAAAAAAAUAGGAUUUGAAACUCUUUCAUAAAUUAAAUAAAAAUUAAUGAAUUAAUCUUCAUAAUGAAAUACAAAUAAGUCAAAAAAAAUUCUUAUAUUUUAUAUAAGAGUUGUUAUCCAAAUUAUUAUCUAAAUAUUUAAUUUUCUACUAAUUACGUAAUAAAUUAUUAUAACAAAAUUUGAUAUUUUUGAGAUAUUUGAAAAUUAUUUUAAAAAAAAAUUAAAUAAAAUAGUAAGUGAGUUUUUUAGCAUGUAACAAUAAAUGGAGACAUUAAUACUCAACAGCAAACAAACAAUCACUACUGUACACACCUACGAUUUGAGAACUUCUUGGAAGCUUUGAAAGUUUGAAAAAUGGUGAUAGGAAUGGAUAAGAAACGUGUCCUACACGUCUACGCGUCUGUGAGAUAUUUUCAGCAUUUUGAUAAAGGAUGAUAAAAAUAGUGGCCUAACUUUGAAAGAUUCGGAUUGAGAAAAUAUCCCCAUCUCGUCGCAAAGAAAAUAAUAAUACAAUAAUAAAGGCAGCCUGGUUGGCCUCAUUUUGAAGCUGAGGGACGGGGACCCCAGAGAAGCCGAACUAAAAGAGACUCAAGAGUGUGGUCAGUGCCAAUCUCGAUCUUUCUCUCCAGAUCUUGCCGGCGGCGAUCUCCCAUAAUCUCUGGUCAGUCAAUCUCAUUUAUUGUAGGGUUUUCGAAAUUGGGCAACAGUAUGUUGAGUUUUUUGGUUUUGAUUGCUGAAGAAAUUGGGGAUCUUUGUUUGAUUGUCUUCAAAGUUUAGGAAAGAAAGCGAAAAUAAAUUUAUUUGGAAUAUUGCAAUGGUUUGUCAGGAGUUUUUAGGCUGAUGAUGUGCUUUUUAGUGGCUCUAAAAUUUCUGCAGCUUAGUUGUUAAUUUGGAGACACAUUCGUUGUGUUAUUGUUCCAAUGGAAUGUUGAUGUGCAAAUCUGUCUUAAAUACGACGCUAAACCAGUAGAAAUUAAAAUGGGUAUUACACAAGAUUUCCUCAACGCUGUUGAUGAGUGUCUCUUGGAGUCUGGAGGACCUUAAGUGUCUCUGCAAGUAUUCCAUUAAGCAGGUGUUUUCUGGAGGUUGGUUUUUAUUUGUUUCAGUUAAUUGUUGUACCUUCAACACUUCAUUUUGUUGUAAGAAGGUGUCUCUUUUACUAGGAUUGUUGCAAGCGUUUUUCAAUUUUGGUUGGAUCUUGGGAUGAGAGGUUUACAUAUUUGGUUUAUGAGAAAAUGCGGGAAAGAAAAGUGGAUAGUGAAAUGCCAUAUAUGGGAUUUUCUAAUUUCUAUUGUUUGGGAACAGAAAAUGCAACUUUUAAAUAUACCUUUUCCUGUUUUCUGUUUUGUGUAAGAAUGGAAAAGAUUAGCGACUGCUAUUAGUUUAUACUUCCCAUGUUCAGAGGAUAUUACGGAGAGGUAGUUGGGAGGCCUUGCUAAACAAUACCUAAAAAAUAUGUUUUAUUAGUUCAAUCAUAAUUUUAUUAUAUAAAACCAUAUUUGCAACAAACAUAUUGCAAUUUGAUCUUAUGCAUAGAGAACAUUUAGGGUAACCCUUUAAAUAUAGAAGCAAAUUAUUUCUAAGAUAGUACAAAAGACAAAUUACAUAAUCUUCCUUUGGUAAUGGCCUAUAGGGGUAACUACUCCUCUUGUCCUCUGUGCCUCUAUUGCUGGUGUUGUUUUGAGUCCUGAAAAUAUCAAAGUGAUAAAAUGGUUUAUUCAAGUAGCAUACAUAUACAUAGAAGAUUGGAUAGAUGAUGGAAGUGAGUACAUGGUUAACAUGAAUAAAUAAUUCAUAUUCAUACUGGUAAUGGUAUUAUCAAUCUAAACCCAACAUACACUUGUUCAGGACUAAGGCUAUGUUUGGUUCUCAGAAAAUUUGAGGGAAAAUGCAAAGGAAAGAAAAUACAAAGGAAAAAUAGAAGGAAAGAAAAACUGAAGGAAAAUAAAAAAUGGAUUAAAAGUUGAUAAGUUAUUUUUAUUUUUUACUUCAAACUCAUUUUAUUUAUUUUAACUCAUCAAUAUAAAGAUUAAAUAAUUUUAAAAUAUAUAAAUUUUUAAUUAGUUUUAAUUAUAUUUGAUUUUCUUUUAUAUUUUUUAUAGGACAACCAAACAUGAAAAAAUCAUUUUCCUUUGCAUUUUUUUUCUUUUCUUAGUAUUUUCCGGGAACCAAACAUAACCUAAAUUUUUGUUGUAUACAUCAUAUAGGGUGAUGUAUAUAUUCUAACUAAAACAUUUAUGUAAAUUACACAUUCUUGAAUAUCAAUAAAUAUGAGUUCAAUUCUAUCUUAUUCAUACAACUUGAAAAUCCGCAUUGCAAGACUAAAAGUGCCAAACAAAUAUGAAAAAAAAAUUUUGAAACUGUAGUGGUUGAAGUGUUUUGAGCAUCAUACCUGGGAGAAAUGGAGUCUAAACUGGAAGCCUUUGAAGUGUUUUGUGAUGCUUAAGAGAUGAAAAAACACAUAUUUCAAUGAGCUAAAAUAUAAGUCGAUAAAUAUUUCAUUCCCGGUUGAUAUAAGAUAAAUUCUUUUAAAUGAUGUAAACUACUUGGGAAUUUUAUAUAUGAAAAAAAAAAUUAAGAAGAAAAAUAUAACAACCAUUUAAUAUUAUAGUUCUCAAAUAGCUUUUUUAUAAUAGUUUUUUUUUUUUAAAAUUUCUCAAUCAUUUUUAUAAAAAAAAAUUAUUUGAGAACUCAAAUAUGAAAAUAAAAUUUUCAACUUAUGCAUUUACUCAUAUAUAUAUAUAAUACAAAAUUUUUUAGAGAAUUCGUCAUAUUUUUAAUUGUGGUAUAUAAUAUUUCAUAAAAAUAAUUAAAAACACCUCAAAUUUAUUUAUUUUUAAAAAAUUUAAAACAUAUUUUCAAAAUACUAUUUUCUAUAAAAAAAAAUUAUUAAAUUUGUUUUUGACUUUAAAAACUACUAUCUAUUUUAAAGAAUAAAUAAAACUCAAAAAUAAUUUUCAAAAUAGGCCAUAAUAUACUAUUUCAAUAUAAAACUUAAUAAUACAAUUAAUUAUUGGAACGUAAAAUCAUAUUUGGGACUAAACCCAAAAGGAAAAUAAUCCAAUUAAUAAACUUUAAAAAUUGAGGUGAAAGAAAUUCUUUCCCUAGGAAGGGACAAAAAAAGAAAUUUUUUUUCCUUAUUUUAAUCACACGGUAAAUCAUGACGUUUGUUGUUUGUUUUUCUUUAAUUAAUCCAUUUUAUUUUAUUUAGUAAAAAAAUUAUAAUAAGUUAUGUAAAAAUAGAAAAACAAACCAAGUAAAAUUUGAAAACAAAUUACUUCUGACAAAGUAAAAUAAAAACCCAUCAUUUAUUUAAAAUUAUAAAAAUAAUAAAUUAAUUUAACAAAAAAUAAAGGGGAUAUAUAAGUGUUGUGAACUUCUUACUUGGCUUAAAAAUUAAAAGAAUAUAUUAAUUACAUUUUUUUCUUUAAAUUUCUUUAUUAUUCAGCCAUCAAUUAUAAAAUUAAAAUAAACAUAAUUGAGAAGAAAAUUCCAAAAUUCACUCAAGAAGAAGAAUUAUUCAUCGUAGCAAAAUUCUUUUUUUUCUCUCUCUCUCUCCUUUCAUUUCAUGCAAAUCACGUUAAAUUGAGAAGAAAAAAAAAAUUAAAAUAUGAUUUUUUUAAUUAUGUGUUUUUAUGAAUUUCUUUUAACUUCUUUUAAUAUAUAUAUAUAUAUAUAUAUAUAUAUAUUAAGCACGCAGAUUCCAAAUCAAGUAACUAUUAAUGCAAAAAAAAAAAAUAUUAAUUUCUAAAAAUAAUUUGAAACUAAAAAAAGAUUCAAUUAAUGUUAGAAAGUUAUGGAACUUAAAAUCAAUCAAAUUAACACUUGAAAGUCACAAACCCAAGUUCAUUUUGAACGACUUUCCUAAUUUUUUCUACAUACAAUCAUAAUUUUAUGAAUUUUUUCGUUAGGUAAAUAAACUUCAAAUUGAGCAUAAAUUAAUGCAUUGAAUUUGUUACAAAGUCUAAUAAUUUUAAUAAAUAAUUUUAAAACUCAAAUAAUGAUCCAACAAAUAUCAUAAAUUUCUAAACAAAAAUUGAUUUGACUCUAUUAUUUUUCUUUUGUAAAGAACCAUAUUUUUUUUUUCGAUUUUUUCACCUAGAGAAAAUUAACAUAUUGCUAAUAUUUUGUUGAAAAAUCAGCAACGGGGAAUUUGGAAUUUUGAUUUAACUAAUAUUAUUUUUUAAAUUAUUUAUAAAAAUGACAUUUUAAAAUCUUUUUUUUGAAAAAUGAUAUAUAUUGUCUUUGAUCUUUUAUUCUUUUCUUAUUUCAGGUGAAAACAUCUUUUCAAAAUGAGAUUUUAGUAUGAACAUAAUUUAUAAGUUUAUACUGAAGUUUGUCUUUUUAAAAUAGCAAUUUUAACAUCAAGCAAAAGGAAAUUUUAGUAUUUUUUAAAUGUAAUGAUUCUUAUUGUGUUCUAUUUUUUAAUAUAUAUAUAUAUAUAUAUAUAGUUUUGAAAAAAAAAACCAUGUAAUUUAGUUUAACCAAUCAAUCAGAGGUCAAAAUAAAACAAAUAAAUAAGUUAACACAAGCCCAAACCAAGAAGGGACGUCCCCCGUGUGCAUGGACAUGGGCAUGCCCUAUUAAAUGAUUUUUGGUUUAACUUUUUCUUGAUUCUUGAGAAAUUUGAGAAAAAAAUGUAAAGAAAAAAAAUAGAAAAAAAAGUAAAAUAAAAUAAAACAUAGAUUUAAAAUCAAUAAAUUAUUUUUAUAUGUUAUUUUCAGUUAAUUUUACUUAUUUUACUAUUUUUAUAAAGAUUAAAUAUUUAAAAAUAUAUAGAUUUUCAAUUAUUUUUAAUUAUAUUUAAUUUAAUUAUAUAUUUUUUUAUAAUAAAAUCAAGAAAAUAAUUUAUUUUUUUUAACUUUAUUCAUCUUUCCUUUGUAGUUCUUUAUUGUUUUUGUUAUAUUAGUUCCAUAAUAAAAUAUAUGAUGUCCAUAGGAUCCAUAAUGUAACUUCCCAAAAGUUGCUCAACCUAUACAUUCCUCAAUUGAUUUUUGUGGUGUUAAUCAGUUUUAGUCUUUAUUAGAUUUUUCAUUGUUUGGGAAUACAGAAAUUGAAUUGUGAUAGUCUGAUAGAUAAGAGGAGUGACUGGAAAUUUGAAAAGAGAGUUGCAAAAAUUUUAGUUCUAUUUUUCCUGCAGUCAAACCCUAAAAUGAGAAUUAAGAUUUAUGAAUUGUGCAAUUCAUGACGGAUCCCUUGCAUAUAUUUUCUAAAUACCCUCCUUGGGAAUGAGAAGAAUUAGUUGUUUAUAAUAAUUUAGACUCAUAUUAUUAUAAUCUUCUUACCAAGAUUAGCUUAAGCAUUAACUAAUCUCUCAUAUUAUUAUUAUUUGACUUUUUCAAAUUCCUCUUUCAUUCUUUUACUUUAUAUUAAUUAAGGUUGACGAUGCAAUGUCUUGUCUUAACAUAGUUAUUUGGCUUUGGCAUCUGUGCUGCAGCCUUCAAUUGUUUCCACCGUUGGAUUUGGGCUUUGGUAGGAUUCCCACCGUUGGAUUUGGGCUUUGGUAGGAUUCUCAUCUUUGUUGUCGGUAGCCAGUCACCAUUGUUGGCUUCCUGCUGUGGAAAUAGAUAAGGGAAUCGUCUUAAAUAAGGGAUUUUUGAUUAAAAAAAAACUGUCUUUUUCAUAAAAUAAUUAUUAGAAAAUGAUAGUUUUGAAACUAUUUCCAAAUAAGUAUAGAUUUAAAAACAGCUUGUGAUUUGAGAUUUGAAAGCCUGACUUAAGAAUCUAAUAUUCAAAAUAGUAAGAUAGUUUGUGAUUUGAGAUUUGAAAGUUUCUUAAUCACAACUAUUAUAGAAUAGACAAAUAUUAUAAAUAAUAUGAUUCUAAUCAUUAUGUUAUUUUAUGUAAAGACAUGUUUUCUUGAUCAUAUUUUGCCUUCCUUGGACCCGAACAACCUAACCGAGUCGUUAAUCAAUCGUUCCAAGUCGUUUGACUCGCUGACUCGCUGACUCGGGCCAGCAGACCACGUGACUUCCGAAAGCAGAGGCUGGGAAGGUGUGGGCGAUCACGUGACGGGAGGUCAGGGAGGAUAAUGAAGAAGCCAUGACCAUGGGUAUAGAGCUUGAAUUGCAUUUGGAGGAGAAUCUGGACGAAGUUGGAAUCUACCGCUGAAAUGUAAGACUGGCGCUGCUGGACGGUGAGAGAUGAGAACCAUUUAAGAAUAGAAGAUCUAGGGUUAGGGUUAGGGUUCGGGCUAGAGCUUGGGAAGCGGUUGUGAUAGAGAGAGAUAUGAGCGGUGAGCGAGUCGACGAGUUGGUUUGAGUCCAUGAACAAGUUGCCAGGAGGAUUGCUGGAUGAAAGGUACGGGAAAUUAGGGUUUGAUUUGGGCAUUUUCAGGUGUUGCAGAGAAUUGACGCUGAGACGAUGACAAUUCAAAAGGUUGGCAAGUGCACGAAGUGUAGGCCGUCCUCUUCGGUCCACCGGCAUCGGACCGUCCACGUCAUGACAUUUGGUCCCAUCUAUAUUUAGACGGUUCAGAUGCAGACAGCGGGGAAGAUUAAAAAAGAAAAGAAAGAACAAUAAUAUUUUUAUAAGCAUUUAAUUGAAAUAAGUAAAUACCAACGGAAAGAAAUUUAAGA
rnacentral:lncRNA from 1 species